rnacentral:lncRNA from 1 species
UAAUUCAUUGCAAAUCUUUGUGCGAUCCUACAUGUCUAGUGAGCUGAGGUGACAAGUGUUUUUCUCUGUGUGAACACGGUUUCACCGACUUGUAAUUUUCGGUCCAACCGAAUCUUUUCGGUACCACCGAAACAUGCCACUCGGUGCCACCGACUUCGCAACAGGAAAAACAGUUUGCCACUUGUUCUUUAUUUCUUCUGAUCCAGCUCUACUCAAUGAAUCUUGUCCUCUACAAGCAUCACAGUUUUAUCUAUUGCUUUGUGCUGAGUCUCAAGGACCAAACCUAUGCGACGGAUUCCAGAAAGACCUUCUUGGAAAUUGAUGUCAAAGGGGGAGAGAGAGAGAUCACAUCAAAGCUCAAGGGAGAGAGAAAGUCUCAAGGACCAAACCUACAAGAGAGAAAGUAUUAAGGGGGAGAAAGAGAUUACUCAAGGAUCCCAGAUGUCCCAGAUGCUUGAUGUUCAAGAGGAGAGAUGUCACAUGUCUUUUUGGGGGAAAGACAUGUUCAUAUGUGCUUAUUUGCAUUAAGUUCUAUCCAUUUGUAUCUUUCAGCUCUGAUUUUCUGUUCCCUAUCUUCUCCCAAUAUCCCAUGAAAGAUUCAGGGGGAGCAAGACACCUAAGGGAAAGAAAUCAGUCAAAUUCAUUGCAUAUAUUUACUCUUGGGGACAUGUUGAAUCCAAUGUGGUACCUUGUACUCACUCUCUACAUGUCAUCCCAGUCUUGGUAUUCUUGUGGUUUCUUUUGUUUGCUCUGACUAGUGGAUGUACCUGUGUUAUCUAACUUUGUUUGUGCAGGUUCAUUCCAUCCUAAGCCAACCAAAGACUACAAGGUAAGUGUGUGCAUCAAAAUCAUGAGUAUGAGGAAUUCUUGCUUAUGUACAUACUGUUUGCAAGAAGGACUCAUGAGCAUGAAGGUAUUUUCCUUGACAAUCUUUUGCUCUGAUGCAUAUGGCCAAGAUACAUGUAACACAUUGCCUACUAUGUCAUGAUUAUGCUCUCACAUGCCUCUAUAUUUCAUAUUUACAUGAGUGCAUACAUGUAGGGGGAGCCUAUGCUUGUUACAUGUCCUUCCAAAGCUUUACUUGAUGUUCUAUAUAUCUUGAUCUAAAGCUUUGAUGUAUGUUGCCAUCAAUUACCAAAAAGGGGGAGAUUGAAAGCACAAGUGCUCCCUAGGUGGUUUUGAUAAUUGAUGACAACAUAUCUCUUGUUGGACUAACAUUUCUAUCUAGUAUGUUUCAGAUAAGUUCAACACUGGAGUGGCAUGGACUAAAGGUUGUGGGAAGUCCUCCAAGAUGCUAAGGACAAAGGAUUGGCUAAAGCUUAAAGCUCAAGACUCUUCAUUUUACAUUCUAGUGAUCCAAGAUCACAUUGAGUCCAUAGGAAAAGCCAAUACUAUCAAGGAGGGAUGAGGUGUUGCUUAAUGAGCCUCUUGCUUCAUGUGCUUAAUGAUACGCUCCAAAACCCUCAGGUACUUUCCCACUUCCUCAUAUGACCUAAACCCAAAGCCAAACUCGGAUCUACCGAUUCUUUCUAUCCGGCGCCACCGAGUUUCACUUGUCAUAGCCACUGCCAGAAACCCUAAUCAGUUCGGCCUCAUCGAUGGGAUAUCGGUCUCACCGAGAUGGGCUUGCAAACUCUCUGUUACCUACUACAAUAUUUUCGGUCCCACCGAGAUAUGCAAUCGGCCCCACCGAGUUUGCUUGGCCAACUCUCUGUUUCACUUAUUACCCAAAUCGGUCCCACCGAGUUUGGAUUUACCCUAACCCUAGCACAUCGAUCCCACCGAGUUGAUCCAGUCGGUCCCACCGAAAAUCUCUAACGGUCACUAGGUUUACCUUUUCGGUCCGACCGAGUUUGUUGAUUCGGUCCCACCGAGAUUGGUAAAUUGUGUGUAACGGUUGGAUUUUGUGUGGAGGCUAUAUAUACCCUUCCACCUCCUCUUCAUUCGUGGAGAGAGCCAUCAGAACACAUCCACACUUCCAACUCAUAUGUUCUGAGAGAGAACUACCUACUCAUGUGUUGAGGCCAAGAUAUUCCAUUCCUACCACAUGAAUCUUGAUCUCUAGCCUUCCCUGUUGGAAAUAUGCCCUAGAGGCAAUAAUAAAAGUAUUAUUAUUAUAUUUCCUUGUUCAUGAUAAUUGUCUUUUAUUCAUGCUAUAACUGUAUUAUCCGGAAAUCGUAAUACACGUGUGAAUACAUAGACCACAAUAUGUCCCUAGUAAGCCUCUAGUUGACUAGCUCGUUGAUCAAUAGAUGGUCACGGUUUCCUGGCUAUGGACAUUGGAUGUGUUGAUAACGGGAUCACAUCAUUAGGAGAAUGAUGUGAUGGACAAGACCCAAUCCUAAGACUAGCACAAAAGAUCGUGUAGUUCAUUUGCUAGAGCUUUGCCAAUGUCAAGUAUCUCUUCCUUUGACCAUGAGAUCGUGUAACUCCUGGAUACCGUAGGAGUGCUUUGGGUGUAUCAAACGUCACAACGUAACUGGGUGACUAUAAAGGUGCACUACAGGUAUCUCCGAAAGUAUCUAUUGUUUUAUGCGGAUCGAGACUGGGAUUUGUCACUCCGUGUAAACGGAGAGGUAUCUCUGGGCCCACUCGGUAGGACAUCAUCAUAUGCGCAAUGUGACCAAGGAGUUGAUCACGGGAUGAUGUGUUACGGAACGAGUAAAGUGACUUGCCGGUAACGAGAUUGAACAAGGUAUUGGAUACCGACGAUCGAAUCUCGGGCAAGUAACAUACCGAUAGACAAACGGAAUUGUAUACGGGAUCGAUUGAGUCCUUGACAUCGUGGUUCAUCCGAUGAGAUCAUCGUGGAACAUGUGGGAGCCAUCAUGGGUAUCCAGAUCCCGCUGUUGGUUAUUGACCGGAGAACGUCUCGGUCAUGUCUGCAUGUCUCCCGAACCCGUAGGGUCUACACACUUAAGGUUCGAUGACGCUAGGGUUAUAAAGGAAGCUUGUAUGUGGUUACCGAAUGUUGUUCGGAGUCCCGGAUGAGAUCCCGGACGUCACGAGGAGUUCCGGAAUGGUCCGGAGGUAAAGAUUUAUAUAUAGGAAGUCCUGUUUCGGCAAUCGGGACAAGUUUCGGGGUCAUCGGUAUUGUACCGGGACCACCGGAAGGGUCCCCGGGGCCCACCGGGUGGGGCCACCUGCCCCGGGGGGCCACAUGGGCUGUAGGGGGUGCGCCUUGGCCUACAUGGGCCAAGGGCACCAGCCCCUAGAGGCCCAUGCGCCAAGAUAAAGGAAAAAGGGAAGAGUCCUAAAGGGGGAAGGCACCUCCGAGGUGCCUUGGGGAGGAUGGACUCCUCCCCAUCCUUAGCCGCACCCCUUCCUUGGAGGAGGGGGCAAGGCUGCGCCUCCCCCCUCUCCCUUGGCCCUAUAUAUAGUGGGGAAAAGGAGGAGCAAUCAGACCUAAGGCCUUUGGUUGCCUCCCUCUCCCUCCCGUGACACAUCUCCUCUCCCGUAGGUGCUCGGCGAAGCCCUGCAGGAUUGCCACGCUCCUCCAUCACCACCACGCCGUUGUGCUGCUGCUGGAUGGAGUCUUCCUCAACCUCUCCCUCUCUCCUUGCUGGAUCAAGGCGUGGGAGACAUCGUCGAGCUGUACGUGUGUUGAACACGGAGGUGCCGUCCGUUCGGCACUAGGAUCAUCGGUGAUCUGAAUCACGACGAGUACGACUCCAUCAACCCCGUUCACUUGAACGCUUCCGCUUAGCGAUCUACAAGGGUAUGUAGAUGCACUCUCCUUCCCCUCGUUGCUGGUUUCUCCAUAGAUAGAUCUUGGUGACACGUAGGAAAAUUUUGAAUUUCUGCUACGUUCCCCAACAGUGGCAUCAUGAGCUAGGUCUAUUGCGUAGAUUCUUUGCACGAGUAGAACACAAAGUAGUUGUGGGCGUUGAUUUUGUUCAAUAUGCUUACCGUUACUAGUCCAAUCUUGUUUCGACGGUAUUGUGGGAUGAAGCGGCCUGGACCGACCUUACACGUACUCUUACGUGAGACAGGUUCCACCGAUUGACAUGCACUUGGUGCAUAAGGUGGCUAGCGGGUGCCAGUCUCUCCCACUUUAGUCGGAACGGAUUCGAUGAAAAGGGUCCUUAUGAAGGGUAAAUAGCAAUUGGCAUAUCACGUUGUGGUUUUGCGUAGGUAAGAAACGUUCUUGCUAGAAACCCAUAGCAGCCACAUAAAACAUGCAAACAACAAUUAGAGGACGUCUAACUUGUUUUUGCAGGGUAUGCUAUGUGAUGUGAUAUGGCCAAAAGGAUGUGAUGAAUGAUAUAUGUGAUGUAUGAGAUUGAUCAUGUUCUUGUAAUAGGAUUCACGACUUGCAUGUCGAUGAGUAUGACAACCGGCAGGAGCCAUAGGAGUUGUCUUAAUUUAUUGUAUGACCUGCGUGUCAUUGAAGAACGCCAUGUAACUUACUUUACUUUAUUGCUAAACGCGUUAGCCAUAGAAGUAGAAGUAGUCGUUGGCGUGACAACUUCAUGAAGACACGAUGAUGGAGAUCAUGAUGAUGGAGAUCAUGGUGUCAUGCCGGUGACGAUGAUGAUCAUGGAGCCCCGAAGAUGAAGAUCAAAAGGAGCAAAAUGAUAUUGGCCAUAUCAUGUCACUAUUUGAUUGCAUGUGAUGUUUAUUAUGAUUAUGCAUCUUGUUUACUUAGGACGACGGUAGUAAAUAAGAUGAUCCCUUACAAAAUUUCAAGAAGUGUUUGUUGGAAAUAUGCCCUAGAGGCAAUAAUAAAAGUAUUAUUAUUAUAUUUCCUUGUUCAUGAUAAUUGUCUUUUAUUCAUGCUAUAACUGUAUUAUCCGGAAAUCGUAAUACACGUGUGAAUACAUAGACCACAAUAUGUCCCUAGUGAGCCUCUAGUUGACUAGCUCAUUGUGAUCAACAGAUAGUCAUGGUUUCCUGGCUAUGGACAUUGGAUGUCGUUGAUAACGGGAUCACAUCAUUAGGAGAAUGAUGUGAUGGACAAGACCCAAUCCUAAGACUAGCACAAAAGAUCGUGUAGUUCAUUUGCUAGAGCUUUGCCAAUGUCAAGUAUCUCUUCCUUCGACCAUGAGAGCGUGUAACUCCUGGAUACCGUAGGAGUGCUUUGGGUGUAUCAAACGUAACAACGUAACUGGGUGACUAUAAAGGUGCACUACAGGUAUCUCCGAAAGUAUCUAUUGUUUUAUGCGGAUCGAGACUGGGAUUUGUCACUCCGUGUAAACGGAGAGGUAUCUCUGGGCCCACUCGGUAGGACAUCAUCAUAUGCGCAAUGUGACCAAGGAGUUGAUCACGGGAUGAUGUGUUACGGAACGAGUAAAGUGACUUGCCGGUAACGAGAUUGAACAAGGUAUCGGUAUACCGACGAUCGAAUCUCGGGCAAGUAAAAUACCGCCUGACAAAGGGAAUUGUAUACGGGAUCGAUUGAGUCCUUGACAUCGUGGUUCAUCCGAUGAGAUCAUCGUGGAACAUGUGGGAGCCAUCAUGGGUAUCCAGAUCCCGCUGUUGGUUAUUGACCGGAGAACGUCUCGGUCAUGUCUGCAUGUCUCCCGAACCCGUAGGGUCUACACACUUAAGGUUCGAUGACGCUAGGGUUAUAAAGGAAGCUUGUAUGUGGUUACCGAAUGUUGUUCGGAGUCCCGGAUGAGAUCCCGGACGUCACGAGGAGUUCCGGAAUGGUCCGGAGGUAAAGAUUUAUAUAUAGGAAGUCCUGUUUCGGCAAUCGGGACAAGUUUCGGGGUCAUCGGUAUUGUACCGGGACCACCGGAAGGGUCCCCGGGGCCCACCGGGUGGGGCCACCUGCCCCGGGGGGCCACAUGGGCUGUAGGGGGUGCGCCUUGGCCUACAUGGGCCAAGGGCACCAGCCCCUAGAGGCCCAUGCGCCAAGAUAAAGGAAAAAGGGAAGAGUCCUAAAGGGGGAAGGCACCUCCGAGGUGCCUUGGGGAGGAUGGACUCCUCCCCAUCCUUAGCCGCACCCCUUCCUUGGAGGAGGGGGCAAGGCUGCGCCUCCCCCCUCUCCCUUGGCCCUAUAUAUAGUGGGGAAAAGGAGGAGCAAUCAGACCUAAGGCCUUUGGUUGCCUCCCUCUCCCUCCCGUGACACAUCUCCUCUCCCGUAGGUGCUCGGCGAAGCCCUGCAGGAUUGCCACGCUCCUCCAUCACCACCACGCCGUUGUGCUGCUGCUGGAUGGAGUCUUCCUCAACCUCUCCCUCUCUCCUUGCUGGAUCAAGGCGUGGGAGACAUCGUCGAGCUGUACGUGUGUUGAACGCGGAGGUGCCGUCCGUUCGGCACUUGGUCAUCGGUGAUCUGAAUCACGACGAGUACGACUCCAUCAACCCCGUUCACUUGAACGCUUCCGCUUAGCGAUCUACAAGGGUAUGUAGAUGCACUCUCCUUCUACUCGUUGCUGGUCUCUCCAUAGAUAGAUCUUGGUGAUACGCGUAGGAAAAUUUUGAAUUUCUGCUACGUUCCCCAACAGUGGCAUCAUGAGCUAGGUCUAUUGCGUAGAUUCUUUGCACGAGUAGAACACAAAGUAGUUGUGGGCGUCGAUAUUGUUCAAUAUGCUUGCCGUUACUAGUCUUAUCUUGAUUCGGCGGCAUCGUGGGAUGAAGCGGCCCGGACCAACCUUACACGUACGCUUACGUGAGACCGGUUCCACCGACAAACAUGCACUAGUUGCAUAAGGUGGCUGGCGGGUGUCUGUCUCUCCCACUUUAGUCGGAUUGGAUUCGAUGAAAAGGGUCCUUAUGAAGGGUAAAUAGCAAUUGGCAUAUCACGUUGUGGUUCAUGCGUAGGUAAGAAACGUUCUUGCUAGAAACCCAUAGCAGCCACGUAAAACAUGCAACAACAAUUAGAGGACGUCUAACUUGUUUUUGCAGGGUAUGCUAUGUGAUGUGAUAUGGCCAGAAGAAUGUGAUGAAUGAUAUGUGAUGUAUGAGAUUGAUCAUGUUCUUGUAAUAGGAUUCACGACUUGCAUGUCGAUGAGUAUGACAACCGGCAGGAGCCAUAGGAGUUGUCUUUAUUUUUUGUAUGACCUGCGUGUCAUUGAAGAACGCCAUGUAAACUACUUUACUUUAUUGCUAAACGCGUUAGUCAUAGAAGUAGAAGUAGUCGUUGGCGUGACAACUUCAUGAAGACACGAUGAUGGAGAUCAUGAUGAUGGAGAUCAUGGUGUCAUGCCGGUGACAAGAUGAUCAUGGAGCCCCGAAGAUGGAGAUCAAUGGAGCUAUAUGAUAUUGGCCAUAUCAUGUCACAACUAUUUGAUUGCAUGUGAUGUUUAUCAUGUUUAUGCAUCUUGUUUGCUCAGAACGACGGUAGUAAAUAAGAUGAUCCCUCAUUAAAAUUUCAAGAAGUGUUCUCCCCUAACUGUGCACCGUUGCUACAGUUUGUCGUUUCGAAGCACCACGUGAUGAUCGGGUGUGAUAGAUUCUUACGUUCACAUACAACGGGUGUAAGACAGUUUUACACAGCGAAAACACUUAGGGUUAACUUGACGAGCCUAGCAUGUACAGACAUGGCCUCGGAACACGGAGACCGAAAGGUCGAGCAUGAGUCGUAUAGUAGAUACGAUCAACAUGAAGAUGUUCACCGACGUUGACUAGUCCGUCUCACGUGAUGAUCGGACACGGCCUAGUUUGACUCAGAUCAUGUAAUCACUUAGAUGACUAGAGGGAUGUCUAUCUGAGUGGGAGUUCAUAAGAUGAACUUAAUUAUCUUGAACAUAGUCAAAAGACCCUUUGCAAAUUAUGUCGUAGCUCACGCUAUAGUUCUACUGUUUAGAUAUGUUCCUAGAGAAAAUAUAGUUGAAAGUUGAUAGUAGCAAUUAUGCGAUCAGUAGAAAGCUCAUGUCCUUAAUGCACCGCUCAAUGUGCUGAACCCCAAACGUCGUUUGUGGAUGUUUCGAACAUCGAACAUACACGUUUUGAUAACUACAUGAUAGUUCAGUUAAAUGGUUUAGAGUAUAGGCACCAAAGACGUUUUCGAAAUGUCGCGGAACAUAUGAGAUGUUUCGAGGGCUGAAAUUAAGAUUUCAGGCUCGUGCCCACGUCAAGAGGUAUGAGACCUCCGACGAUUUUCUUAGCCUGCAAACUAAGGGAGAAAAGCUCAAUCGUUGAGCUUGUGCUCAGAUUGUCUGAGUACAACAAUCACUUGAAUCAAGUGGGAGUUGAUCUUCCAGAUGAAAAAGUGAUAGUUUCUCCGAAGUCAUUACCACCAAGCUGCUAGAGCUUCGUGAUGAACUAUAACAUAUCAGGGAUAGAUAUGAUGAUCCUUGAAAUAUUCGCGUUGUUUGACACCGCGAAAGUAGAAAUCAAGAAGGAGCAUCAAUUGUUGAUGGUUGGUGAAACCACUAGUUUCAAGAAGGGCAAGGGGAAAGAAGGGAUACUUCAUGAAACGGCAAAUCAGCUGCUGCACCAAUGAAGAAACCCGAGGUUGAACCCAAACCCGAGUCUAAGUGCUUCUGUAAUAAGGGGAACAACCACUGGAGCAAGAUUACCCUAGAUACUUGGUAGAUGAGAAGGCUGGCAAGGUCGAUAGAAGUAUAUUGGAUAUACAUUAUGUUAAUGUGUACUUUACUAGUACUCCUAGUAGCACCAGGGUAUUAGAUACCGAUUCGGUUACUAAGUGUUAGUAACUCGAAAUAAAAGCUACGGAAUGAAAUGGAGACUAGCUAAAGGUGAGCUGACGAUAUAUGUUGGAAGUGUUUCCAAGGUUGAUAUGAUCAAGCAUCGCACGCUCCCUCUACCACCGAGAUUGGUGUUUGCGUUGAGCAUAGACAUGAUUGGAUUAUGUCUAUCGCAAUACGGUUAUUCAUUUAAGGAGAAUAAUGGUUACUCUAUUUUUGAAUAAUACCUUCAAUGGUCUUGCACCUAAAUAAAUGGUUUAUUGAAUCUCGAUCGUAGUGAUACACAUUUUCAUGCCAAAAGAUAUAAGAUAGUAAUGAUAGUACCACUUACUUGUGGCACUGCCAUGUAAGUCAUAAUGGUAUAAAACGCAUGAAGAAGCUCCAUGUUGAUGGAUCUUUGGACUCACUCAUUUUUGAAAAGUUUGAGACAUGCGAACCAUGUCUAUUGGUAUAUAUGCAUGAAGAAACUCCAUGCAAAUGGACCGUUUGAACUCACUUGAUUUUGAAUCACUUGAGAUAUGCAAAUCAUACCACAUGGGCAAGAUGACUGAAAAGCCUCGGUUUCAGUAAGAUGGAACAAGAUAGCAACUUGUUGGAAGUAACACAUUUUGAUGUUUGCAGUCCAAUGAGUGCUGAGGCAUGCAGUGAAUAUCGUUAUUUCUUACUUCACAGAUGAUUCGAGUAGAUGUUGAGAAUAUUUACUUGAUGAAACACAAGUCUGAAUUAUUGAAUGGUUCAAGUAAUUUCAGAGUGAAGUAAAAGAUCAUUGUGACAAGAGGAUAAAAUGUCUAUGAUAUGAUCAUAGAGAUGAAUACCUGAGUUAUGAGUUUUGGCACACAAUUAAGACAUUGUGGAAAUUGUUUCGCAAUUAAUACCGCCUGGAACACCAUAGUGUGAUGGUGUGUCCGAACAUCAUAGUUGCACCCUAUUGGAUAUGGUGCGUACCAUGAUGUCUCUUAUCGAAUUACCACUAUUGUUCAUGGGUUAGGCAUUAGAGACAACCACAUUCACUUUAAAUAGGGCACCACGUAAUUCCGAUGAGAUGACACCGUAUGAAUUAUGGUUUAGAGAAACCUAAGUUGUCGUUUCUUAAAGGUUUGGGGCUGCGACGCUUAUGUGAAAAAGGUUUCAGGAUUAAGCUCGAACCCAAAGCGGAUAAAAUGCAUCUUCAUAGGAAACCCAAAACAGUUGGGUAUACCUCCUAAUUCAGAUCCGAAAGCAAUAUGGAUUGUUUCUAGAAUCGGGUCCUUUCUCGAGGAAAAGUUUCUCUCGAAAGAAUUGAGUGGGAGGAUGGUGGAGACUUGAUGAGGUUAUUGAACCGUCUCUUCAACUAGUGUGUGACAGGGCACAGGAAGUUGUUCCUGUGGCACCUACACCAAUUGAAGUGGAAGCUUAUGAUAUUGAUCAUGAAACUUCGGAUCAAGUCACUACCAAACCUCGUAGGAUGACAAGGACACGUACUACUUCGGAGUGGUACGGUGAUCCUGUCUUAAAAGUCAUGUUGCUAGACAACAAUGAACCUACGAGCUAUGGAGAAGCGAUGGUGGGCCCAAAUUCCGACAAAUGGUUAGAAGCCAUGAAAUCCGAGAUAGUAUCCAUAUAUCAGAACAAAGCAUGGACUUUGAUGGACUUACCCGAUGAUUGGCAAUCCAUUGAGAUAAAUGGAUCUUUAAGAAGAAGACGGACGUGGAUGGUAAUGUCACCAUCUAUGAAGCUCGACUUGUGGCGAAAAGUUUCUUCACAAGUUCAAGGAGUUGACUACGAUGAGAUUUUCUCAUCCGUAGCGAUGCUUAAGUCCGUCGGAAUCAUGUUAGCAUUAGCUGCAUUUAUGAAAUCUGGCAGACGGAUGUCAAAACGAGUUUCCUUAUCAGUUUUCGUAAGGAAAGGUUGUAUGCAAUACAAUCAGAAAAGUUUUGUCGAUCCUAAGGAUGCUAAAGGGUAUGCUAGCUCCAGCGAUCCUUCUAAGGACUGGAGUGAGCAUCUCGGAGUUGGAAGGUAUGCUUUGAUGAGAUGAUCAAAGAUUUUGGAUUUAUACAAAGUUUAUGAGAAACUUGUAUUUCCAAAGAAGUGAGUGGGAGCACUAUAGAAUUUCUGAUGAGUAUAUGUUGUUGACAUAUUGUUGAUCAGAAAUGACGUAGAAUUUCUGGAAAGCAUAUAGGGUUAUUUUGAAAGUGUUUUUCAAUGGAAAGCCUGGAUUAAGCUACUUGAACAUUGAGCAUCAAGAUCUAUAAGGAUAGAUCAAAACGCUUAAUAGUACUUUCAAAUGAGCACAUACCUUGACAUGAUCUUGAAGGUAUUCAAGAUGGAUCGGUCAAAGAAGAAGUUCUUGCCUGAGUUGUAAGGUACGAAGUUAAGACUUAAAGCUCGACCACGGCAGAAUAGAGAGAAAGGACGAAGGUCGUCCCCUAUGCUUAAAAUGUAGGCUCUUCAGUAUGCUAUGCUGUGUACCGCACCUGAAGUGUGCCUUGCCAUGAGUCAGUCAAGGGGUACAAGAGUGAUCCAAGAAUGGCUCACAGGACAACGGUCAAAGUUAUCCUUAGUAACUAGUGGACUAAGGAAUUUUUCUCGAUUAUGGAGGUGGUAAAAGAGUUCGUCGUAAAGGGUUACGUCGAUGCAAGCUUGACACCUAUCCGGAUUGCUCUGAGUAGAGAUACCGGAUAUGUAUAAUGGAGCAACAAUUUAGAAUAGCUCCAAGUAGAACAGUUAUUUGGAAUAGAUCCAAAUAGGACGUGGUAGCUGCAUCUAGGAGAUGACAUAGAGAUUUGUAAAGCACACACGGAUCUGAAAGGUUCAGACCCGUUGACUAAAACCUCUCUCACAAGAAACAUGAUCAAACAUAAAACUCAUUGAGUGUUAAUCACAUAGUGAUGUGAACUAGACUACUGACUCUAGUAAACUCUUGGGUAUUAGUCACAUGGCGAUGUGACCUGUGAGUGUUAAUCACAUGGCGAUGUGAACUAGAUUAUUGACUCUAGUGCAAGUGGGAGACUGUUGGAAAUAUGCCCUAGAGGCAAUAAUAAAAGUAUUAUUAUUAUAUUUCCUUGUUCAUGAUAAUUGUCUUUUAUUCAUGCUAUAACUGUAUUAUCCGGAAAUCGUAAUACACGUGUGAAUACAUAGACCACAAUAUGUCCCUAGUAAGCCUCUAGUUGACUAGCUCGUUGAUCAAUAGAUGGUCACGGUUUCCUGGCUAUGGACAUUGGAUGUCGUUGAUAACGGGAUCACAUCAUUAGGAGAAUGAUGUGAUGGACAAGACCCAAUCCUAAGACUAGCACAAAAGAUCGUGUAGUUCAUUUGCUAGAGCUUUGCCAAUGUCAAGUAUCUCUUCCUUUGGCCAUGAGAUCGUGUAACUCCUGGAUACCGUAGGAGUGCUUUGGGUGUAUCAAACGUCACAACGUAACUGGGUGACUAUAAAGGUGCACUACAGGUAUCUCCGAAAGUAUCUAUUGUUUUAUGCGGAUCGAGACUGGGAUUUGUCACUCCGUGUAAACGGAGAGGUAUCUCUGGGCCCACUCGGUAGGACAUCAUCAUAUGCGCAAUGUGACCAAGGAGUUGAUCACGGGAUGAUGUGUUACGGAACGAGUAAAGUGACUUGCCGGUAACGAGAUUGAACAAGGUAUUGGAUACCGACGAUCGAAUCUCGGGCAAGUAACAUACCGAUAGACAAAGGAAUUGUAUACGGGAUCGAUUGAGUCCUUGACAUCGUGGUUCAUCCGAUGAGAUCAUCGUGGAACAUGUGGGAGCCAUCAUGGGUAUCCAGAUCCCGCUGUUGGUUAUUGACCGGAGAACGUCUCGGUCAUGUCUGCAUGUCUCCCGAACCCGUAGGGUCUACACACUUAAGGUUCGAUGACGCUAGGGUUAUAAAGGAAGCUUGUAUGUGGUUACCGAAUGUUGUUCGGAGUCCCGGAUGAGAUCCCGGACGUCACGAGGAGUUCCGGAAUGGUCCGGAGGUAAAGAUUUAUAUAUAGGAAGUCCUGUUUCGGCAAUCGGGACAAGUUUCGGGGUCAUCGGUAUUGUACCGGGACCACCGGAAGGGUCCCCGGGGCCCACCGGGUGGGGCCACCUGCCCCGGGGGGCCACAUGGGCUGUAGGGGGUGCGCCUUGGCCUACAUGGGCCAAGGGCACCAGCCCCUAGAGGCCCAUGCGCCAAGAUAAAGGAAAAAGGGAAGAGUCCUAAAGGGGGAAGGCACCUCCGAGGUGCCUUGGGGAGGAUGGACUCCUCCCCAUCCUUAGCCGCACCCCUUCCUUGGAGGAGGGGGCAAGGCUGCGCCUCCCCCCUCUCCCUUGGCCCUAUAUAUAGUGGGGAAAAGGAGGAGCAAUCAGACCUAAGGCCUUUGGUUGCCUCCCUCUCCCUCCCGUGACACAUCUCCUCUCCCGUAGGUGCUCGGCGAAGCCCUGCAGGAUUGCCACGCUCCUCCAUCACCACCACGCCGUUGUGCUGCUGCUGGAUGGAGUCUUCCUCAACCUCUCCCUCUCUCCUUGCUGGAUCAAGGCGUGGGAGACAUCGUCGAGCUGUACGUGUGUUGAACGCGGAGGUGCCGUCCGUUCGGCACUUGGUCAUCGGUGAUCUGAAUCACGACGAGUACGACUCCAUCAACCCCGUUCACUUGAACGCUUCCGCUUAGCGAUCUACAAGGGUAUGUAGAUGCACUCUCCUUCUACUCGUUGCUGGUCUCUCCAUAGAUAGAUCUUGGUGAUACGCGUAGGAAAAUUUUGAAUUUCUGCUACGUUCCCCAACAUUCCCCAAGUUGCUUUCCACUCAAAUCUUCUUUCCACCAGAUCCAAAUCCUAUGAGAGAGAGUUGAGUGUUGGGGAGACUAUCACUUGAAGCACAAGAGCAAGGAGUUGAUCAUCAACACACCAUUUGUUACUUCUUGGAGAGUGGUGUCUCCUAGAUUGGCUAGGUGUCACUUGGGAGCCUCCGACAAGAUUGUGGAGUUGAACCAAGGAGUUUGUAAGGGCAAGGAGAUCGCCUACUUCGUGAAGAUCUACCGCUAGUGAGGCAAGUCCUUCGUGGGCGAUGGCCAUGGUGGGAUAGACAAGGUUUCUUCUUUGUGGACCCUUCGUGGGUGGAGCCCUCCGUGGACUCGCGCAACCGUUACCCUUCGUGGAUUGAAGUCUCCAUCAACGUGGAUGUAGGAUAGCACCACCUAUCCGAACCACGGGAAAAACAUCCGUGUCUCCAAUUGCGUUUGAAUUCUCCAAACCCUUCCCCUUACUUUCUUGCAAGUUGCAUGCUUUACAUUCUGCUGCUCAUAUACUCUUUGCAUGCUUGCUUGAUAUGUAUUGUGUAUGUUGAAAUUGUGCCUAAAACUCCACUCAAACCUAAAAGAUUAAAAAUUGCAACUUUAGCACUAAGUGUCUAACCCCCCCCCUUUCUAGACACACCUACUUCUAGAUCCUACAUAAUGAUACGCGUGAUGUUAAGAUGCCAUCGCUUGAGGUCAAGGCUGGGCAGGCGCAAAUGAAUAUUGGGUUGUUUAUAUUGGGUACAACUGCGAGUGGGAACCUGUGAAUGUGUACACUCAUCACUGGGUUCCACUUCCAAAAAUCUCAGACUACCCAGAGGUUGAGCACAGAGAUGAUCUACAUGAGUUCAAAUACGAUCAUGGUAAUUGUUGUCUACGGAAGAUAGCAAUUUGUCAAGUUCCAACCGCUCUUGGGAUUACACGAACUAUGAAGUUGUUGCUAUCUUCGACAAGCUCGUUACCUUCCUUACUUCCACACCUCGAUGGAUAUUGCUGAAAAAUCAAUUUCUACACACGGAUGAGUACUGUGAUGCAAUUCAAUAUGAGGGUCUUGUGUUUGCUGCCACCACUCGUGGCACUUUUUUUGCAUGGAAUCAUCAUGCUUUCGGUAUGUUUGUCUUCCACCGUAAUUAUAAUUGUUUCAUCCACAUGCACGCGGGCUAGCUAGUUUCCCUUUACUAAUUAAUUAACCUUCUUGUGUUUCCAAGGUCCUGUGAACAUUCCACCACCUAUACUUGAAAAUUUUUAUAACCAAGGAGGAGACGACGAUGUUGAUGAUCACGAGCAUGAGGACGAGCAGGACCCAUAUACUCAGUGGUGCCUGGCAACUUGUUCUGAUGGAUCACCUCUUCUUGUCUGUAUACAGGGCACUCCUGAUGUUACUAAGGAAGCAGGUGUUGUCUCGCAUGGUCGCACUCUCCGGACCUAUUCCAACAUCCGUUGCAGGAUAUUUGGGAUGGAUACUAGUGUACUAGUGCCAACACCUUCUCCCUGGUUUAGUAUUGAAAGUCUUGGAGGGAACUCGCUCUUCCUUGGACAAAACUAUCCAAUCAUGGUGAAAGGCGAUCUAGCUGCUGUUGACACAAGGUUACUACCAUUUAUGAGAAGCAAAUGUAUCUAUACCUCGGCCAUUGCUAUAUGAUUCCCUAUCAUCACACUAUGGGUCCUGACAUAGCCCGCUUCAGCCUGGAUGAUCAGUCAUGCGUUGGUCUUGAGACCGACAGUGGCUGGUCCUUCCCAGAGAAUCACUUCUAGUUCAAAGCAAGCAUUUCCAACACCGAGGAUUGGUUGAGCUGAAGUUCAUUUCAUUGCUUGUUAUUUGUUGUGUGAUGAAAACUUUAGUAUUUACUAGAAUGUAUCGCCGUUGUUGUUGUGGGUUAAUGACCUGUUGUAUGUAAUAAAAUGAUAUGCCUGUGAUAGACAUAGUAAAUUUAUGAAUGGCUUUCGAGUCGCUUCUCUAAGUGGGUGCUGCGACGAGGCAAAAAAAUAUUUUCCAAAUACAUAAUUGUACGUGUAUUGCAACAGGUUAUCGGAUGAGUCCAAUCAACAAUAGUACUACUACUAUUUGUACUAGCUCCACAUGCUUCGCACAUUGGGCGGGUGUUUUUACUGUAGCUACAAAUCCCAUCAUCCUAGGUCCUCGGAUGAGUCCAGUAGAAAUUGCAUUAUGAUUUUUGGGUUCAAACUUUCAAAACUAUUGCACUAUCUCUACAUCUACGUAUACGGAAUACAACAAGUUUUAAACUUGAGACCCCUCACCCACCCUCACAAAGAACACUUUUUAACCUAGCACAGACUCCAGGAAAUUUGGCCACGGUGUAAGGUGGGCCAUAUGUUAAUGUGUUCGCUGUACAUAACCAGCACCUCGAAUCCUUGAUAUACAGUACACUGGGGUGGCAUGGGCCAGAACAAGCAUUCACGUCCAGGAGUACGACACACGCCACCAGCACGACUUCCAUCUAACACCAUAUUUCUUGGAGUCCGUGCUAUAGCUAUCUCUUCAACCUCGUCGUUUAUCUAACUCAACCAUCACGCGGUGGGCGAGGUGGGGGUUUGCCGAUAGUCGAUUUCCUCAACUGCGGUCCCACUUGUAAGGCCAACUCCAACUCACGACCACAAACAAACCUCUGUGGCUUCGCUCGUGUGGGGGACGGAAGCCAUCCCGCGCGGGCGCUAGGUCUGACAGGAUGACCUUGUCGUCAGUGUGUGACCUCUGUGGCAACCGUCCGCUCCCCACUAGCCUCUUCGUUGACAUGUGGUACCGUUCUAACAUGUCAGUGAGACGACGACGAGACCUUUUGUACAAUUUCUAAACGGACGUCUAUGUAGGCCGGGGCGCCUCUUCGUGUACCGUGGCAACCAUCCAUCGACUCUUCGCCUUUCCCUCUCGAUUUGGAACUAUUGUCGCACGCUCUUCCUCCCUCCUCCAUUUGCCUUCACCCUUCCUUCUUCCAUUGUUUGAUUGUCUUCUCCACAGAGGGAACAGACCGGAAACGACCCCGUUAUUCUUGCCCCAAUCUGAAUGAUGACAUGGUGGAAGAACUCAUUAAUCGGUGCGACGUCAUCACCUCGGCUAGCAUGGCAGGUUCGUUCAAGACCAUUCUUGACUCAACUAAUAACAUAAUUACAAGGAACCCAAGGGUCCUGGAGCGGUUUGAUCUCCCCUAUCUUCUUCACCGUGACCCUGCUCACUGGCGCGCGGACGCGGAGGCCUCACCUUGUGCAAGUUGGUGCCACUUGAUAAUGAUACGUGUGAUGUUAAGAUGCCAUCGCUUGAGGGUAAGGCUUGGGCAGGCGCAAAUGGAGAUUGGGUUGUUUAUAUUGGGUACAACUACAAGUGGGAACUUGUGAUCGUGUACACUCGUCACCGGGUUCCACUUCCAAAAAUCUCAGACUGCCCAGAGGUUGAGCACACCGAUAUUCUACGUAGGUUCAACUAAGAUCAUGGUGACUGUCGUCUACAGAAGAUAGCAAUUUGUCAAGUUCACAACCGCUCUUGGGGUUAUAGGAAUGCUUGUGUUGUUGCUAUCUUCAAAAAGCUUGUUGACGUCCUUCAAGGUUCGACUCGAUGGAUAUUGCUCAAAAAACAGUUUCUAUACAUGGAUGAGUAUUGUGAUGCAAUUCAAUACAAGGGUCUUGUGUUUGCUGCCACCACUCGUGGCACUAUUUUUGCAUGGAACCCUGAUGCUUUCGGUACAUUUGUCUUCCACCAUAAUUAUAAUUGUUUCAUCCAUAUGCAUGCGGGUUAGCUAGUUUCCCUUUACUAAUUAACCUUCUUGUGUUUCCAAGGUCCUGUGAACAUUCCACCACCUAUACUUGAAAAUUUUAUAACCAAGGGGGAGAUGACGAUGAUGAUGAUCAUGAGCAUGAGGACCCAUAUAGGAGUACUUAGUGGCGCCUAGCAACUUAUUCCGAUGGAUCACCUCUUCUUGUAUGUAUACAGGGCAUUGCUGAUGUGACUAAGGAAGCAUGUGUUGUCUCCCAUGGUCGCACUCUAUGGACCUAUUCCAACAUUGGUUGCAGGGUAUUCGGGAUGGAUACUACUGUGCUAGUGCCAAUACCUUCUCCCUGGUUUAGUAUUGAUACUCUUGGAGGAAACUCGCUCUUCCUUGGAUAAAACUAUCCAAUCAUGGUGAAAGGCGAUCCAGCUGCUGUUGACACAACAUUACUACCAUUUAUGAGAAGCAAAUCUAUCUAUACCUCGGGCAUUGCUAUGCUUACCUAUCGUGGCUAUCACUAUAUGGGUCAUGAAAUAGGCCGCUUCAGCCUGGAUGAUCAGUCCUGCGUUGGUCUCGAGAUUGACUGUAGCUGGCCCUUCCUAGAGAAAAUCUUCUAGUUCAAAGCAAGCAUUUCCAACACCGAGGAGUGGUUGAGCUGAAGUUCAUUUCAUUGCUUGUUACUUGUUGUGUGAUGAAAACUUUAGUAUUUACUAGAAUGUUUUGUUGGAACUAAUCUAUAAUCCAACAUGUAUCCUCGUUGUCGUUGUGUGUUGAUGACUUGUUGUAUGUAAUGAAUGGUACAUUUGCAUACGCAUGUCAAAAACUCGAUAUAUAAAUGGUUUUCGACUCACUUCUUGGAGUGUUAGUGCCGUAGUAGUAUAGCCAGCAUCCAUAAUAGUAUGAAGUUGCCACAUCACAUAGAGCCAACCAAUAGUUAGUUCUAGUUAGAUCAACUAGAGCUAGGUGUCGCACGGAGGCCGAGAAAUAUGGUGAUAGCAUGACUGCGUGAGGUGGGCUUGUAUGUAGUAUGAUGUAGGCACAGGGCUUGUCGUGUUUCCUACUCCUCCGGUCUAAAUGUGGAGAAGAUUUGGUCGAGUUCUUCCUCCUUUUGCUGACACGUGGGACAUCCAGCAUCCAGGUUGUGUCAUGCAAGAAAAUGGAGUGGUAGUUGAAGCCACGUGAUGUGCAUCUUGGGUUAAAUUGUAAAUAGAAUCUUACUACUCUUGAGUAACUCCAAAAGUGGCCACCAAAGAUCUUUAUUCCAUUUGUUUUUCAUCACCAGCACGUCGAGGUGAAAGAUGUGCAGGUUCAGUGGGUCCUCUUGCGUUUUCACUGACAUGUGGGACCGCAUGUGAGCAAACAGAGGAUGGGCUCCGCGCGUCUGCUGGCUGGCUGAGAAGAGAGAUAGAGGAGGGCUGAGCAUGGACUCCAGGAAGUUUGUUCCACAUAACUAGCACCUCGAUAUAGGCUCGAUAUAGUGGGGUGGCAUGGGCCAUAACUAGCAUUCAUGUCUUCCAGUAUGGCACAUGCCACCCACACGAGUCCCAUCCGACACCAAUUUUCUUGGAGUCCGUGCUACAACCACUGUCGGUUUCAAAACCGGCGGAUCUCAGGUAGGGGGUCCCGAACUAUGCGUCUAAGGCGGAUGGUAACAGGAGGCAGGGGACACGAUGUUUACCCAGGUUCGGGCCCUCUUGAUGGAGGUAAUACCCUAUGUCGUGCUUAAUUGAUCUUGAUGAUAUGACUAUUACAAGAGUUGAUGUACCACGAGAUCGUAGAAGCUAAACCCUAGAAGCUAGCCUAUGGCAUGAUUGUAUGUUGUUCUAUGGACUAAACCCUCCGGUUUAUAUAGACACCGGAGGGGGCUAGGGUUACACAGAGUUGGUUACAAGGGAGGAGAUCUAAUAUCCGUAUUGCCAAGCUUGCCUUCCACGCCAAGGAGAGUCCCAUCCGGACACGGGACGAAGUCUUCAAUCUUGUAUCUUCAUGGUCCAAUAGUCCGGCCAAAGGAUAUAGUCCGGCUGUCCGGAGACCCCCUAAUCCAGGACUCCCUCAGUAGCCCCUGAACCAGGCUUCAAUGACGAUGUGUCCGACGCGCAGAUUUGUCUUUGGCAUUGCAAGGCGGAUUCUUCCUCUGAAUACUCCAUAGAAGAUUUUGAACACAAGGAUAGUGUCCGACUCUACAAAACAAGCUCCACAUACCACCGUAGAGAGAAUAAUAUUUCCACAAAUCUAAUCUGCUGACACGUUUGACAACAUGACAUCAUACUGCGGCCCAGUCAUUAUUCGAACCGUUUUUCUCAACCAGCACUCCACAUAUCGCGAGGUGGUUUUCUUGACACGUCUUCUCAAAGCAGAGAUCGUGUCCCCUUAUCACGGGAUUCUCAUCAAUACGGGUAUGGGUAACCCAACCGCGCCAUCAAUUACGGUGUUCGGGGAAUAAGUGAUUUUACCAGGUAAGUGGGGAGGCGUAUCGCCUCUUCCGCCCUUAUAAAGGGACAAAGAUUCACCCUUUUUACCCAUGCCUUCUUCCUCCUUGCUGAUCCAUUCUCACGCACUCGAGCUCUGAUAACCCACAAGUAUAGGGGAUCGCAACAGCUUUCGAGGGUAGAGUAUUCAACCCAAAUUUAUUGAUUUGACACAAGGGGAGCCAAAGAAUAUUCUCAAGUAUUAGCAGCUGAGUUAUCAGCUCAACCACACCUGGAAACUUAGUAUCUGCAGCGAAGUGUUUAGUAGCAAAGUAAUAUGAUAGUGGUGGUAACGGUAACAAAAGAGUAAUGAAAGCAAAGUAAUAUUUUUGGUAUUAUGUAGUGAUUGUAACAAUAGCAACGGGAAAGUAAAUAAGCGUAAACCAGUAUAUGGAAAGCUCGUAGGCAAUGGAUAAUUAUGUUGGAUGUGGUUCAUCAUGUAACAGUCAUAACAUAAGGUGACACAGAACUAGCUCCAGUUCAUUGAUAUAAUGUAGGCAUGUAUUCCGAAUAUAGUCAUACGUGCUUAUGGAAAAGAACUUGCAUGACAUAUUUUGUCCUACCCUCCCGUGGCAGCGGGGUCCUAAUGGAAACUAAGGGAUAUUAAGGCCUCCUUUUAAUAGAGAACCGGAACAAAGCAUUAACACAUAGUGAAUACAUGAACUCCUCAAACUACGGUCAUCACCGAUAAGUAUCCCGAUUAUUGUCACUUCGGGGUUAACGGAUCAUAACACAUAAUAGGUGACUAUAGACUUGCAAGAUAGGAUCAAGAACUCUCAUAUAUUGAUGAAAACAUAAGAGGUUCAGAUCUGAAAUCAUGGCACUCGGUCCCUAGUGACAAGCAUUAAGCAUAGCAAAGUCAUAGCAACAUCAAUCUCAGAACAUAGUGGAUACUAGGGAUCAAACCCUAACAAAACCAACUCGAUUACAUGAUAAAUCUCAUCCAACCCAUCACCGUCCAGCAAGCCUACGAUGGAAUUACUCACGCACGGCGGUGAGCAUCAUGAAAUUGGUGAUGGAGGAUGGUUGAUGAUGACGACGGCGACGGAUUCCCCUCUCCGGAGCCCCGAACGGACUCUAGAUCAGCCCUCCCGAGAGGUUUUAGGGCUUGGCGGCGGCUUUGUAUCGUAAAACGCGAUGAUUUCUUCUCUUCUAUUUUUUCCUCCUCGAAAGCUAAUAUAUAGAGUUGGAGUUGGAGUCGGGAGGUCUCCAGGGGGCCCACGAGGUAGGGGGCGCGCCCCCCACCCUCAUGGAAAGGGUGUGGGCCCCGUGGUCUUCAUCUUUGGCGAGGAUUUUUUAUUAUUUAUUGUAAGAUAAUCCGUGGAGUUUCAGGUCAUUUCGAGAACUUUUGUUUUCUGCACAUAAAACAACAUCAUGGCAGUUCUGAUGAAAACAAUGUCAGUCCGGGUUAGUUCCAUUCAAAUCAUACAAGUUAGAGUCCAAAACAAGGGCAAAAGUGUUUGGAAAAGUAGAUACGACGGAGACAUAUCAACUCCCCCAAGCUUAAACCAUUGGUUGUCCUCAAGCAAUUCAGUUGACAAACUGAAAGAAAUAAAGAAUUUUUUUUACAAACUCUGUUUGCUCUUGUUGUUGUAAAUAUGUCAAGCUAGCAUUCAAGUUUUCAGCAAAGAUUAUAACUAACCAUAUUUGCAAUAAUUCUCAGGUCUCAUGAUUACCCAUAUCAAUAGCAUAAUCAACUAGCAAGCCAUAAUAAUAAAUCUUGGAUGACAACACUUUCUUGAAACAGUCAUAAUAUGAUAUAACAAGAUGGUAUCUCGCUAGCCCUUUCUGAGACCGCAAAACAUAAAUGCAGAGCACCUCUAAAGAUCAAGGGCUGACUAGACAUUGCAAUUCAUGGUAAAAGAGAUCCAAUCGUAGUCACACCCAAUAUAAAUUAAUAGUAAUGAAUGCAAAUGGCAGUUGUGCUCUCCAGCUAGUGCUUUUAAUAAGAGGGUGAUGACUCAACAUAAAAGUAAAUAGAUAGGCCCUUCGCAGAGGGAAGCAGGGAUUUGUAGAGGUGCCAGAGCUCGGUUUUGAAAUAGAGGUGAAUAAUAUUUUGAGUGGUAUACUUUCAUUGUCAACAUAACAACCAAGAGAUGGUGAUAUCUUCCAUGCUACACACAUUAUAGGCGGUUCCCAAACAGAAUGGUAAAGUUUAUACUCCCCUCCACCAACAAACAUAAAUCCAUGGCUUGCUCGAAACAACGAGUGCCUCCAACUAACAACAGUCCCAGGGGGAGUUUUGUUUUGCAAUUAUUUUGAUUUAGUUUGCAUAAAGCAUGGGACUGGUGUCGGUGUCAAAACCGGUGGAUCUCGGGUAGGGGGUCCCAAACUGUGCGUCUAAGGCGGAUGGUAACAAGAGGCAGGGGACACGAUGUUUUACCCAGGUUCGGGCCCUCUUGAUGGAGGUAAAACCCUAUGUCCUGCUUGAUUAUUCUUGAUAAUAUGAGUAGUACAAGAGUUGAUCUACCACGAGAUCGGAGAGGCUAAACCCUAGAAGCUAGCCUAUGGUAUGAUUGUAUGUUGUCCUGCAGACUAAAACCCUCCGGUUUAUAUAGACAUCGGAGGGGGCUAGGGUUACACAAGGUCGGUUACAAAGGAGGAGAUAUACAUAUCCGUAUUGCCUAGCUUUCCUUCCACACCAAGUAGAGUCCCAUCCGGAUACAGGACGAAGUCUUCAAUCUUGUAUCUUCAUAGUCCAACAGUCCGGCCAAAGGAUAUAAUUCGGCUCUCCGGAUACCCCCUAAUCCAGGACUCCCUCAACAGCCCCUGAACCAGGCUUCAAUGAUGAUGAGUCCGGCGCGCAGUGUUGUCUUCGGCAUUGCAAGGCGGGUUCCUCCUUCGAAUACACCACAGAAGAGUUUGAAUACAAGGAUAGUGUCCGACCCUGCAAAAUAAGUUCCACAUACCACCAUAGAGAGAAUAAUAUUACCACAAAUCUAAUCUGCUGACAUGGUUUGGCAGCAUGACAUCAUGCCAUGGCCCGGUAAUUGUUCGAACCGUUUUUCUUUAACCAGCCCCGCACAUAACGCGAGGCGGUUUCUUGACACGUCUUGUCAAAGCAGAGAUCAUGUUCUCCUUAUUACGGGAUUCUCAUCAAUACAGACAUGGGUAACCCAACCGCGCCAUCAAUUACGGCGCUUGGGGGAUAAGCAAGUUUUACCAGGCUAGUGGGGCGCAUAGUUUAGUCCGCCCUUAUAAAGGGAUAAGAUCUCACCUUUUUUUACCCACGCCUUCUUCCUCCUUGCUCAUCAUUCUCGCGCACUUGAGCUCCAGCGCCCAAGUCCGCAUCCUUCUCCUCAACUCUCUCCAAACAUGUCCGGAGCGGGAGGCAAGUGGAUGGCCUCCUCCGUCACGGAGGGACACAUCAAAAAGCUACAUGGAGCCGGAUACUUAGCCGCGGAUAUCGCGCACCAGCUGCUAGUCGCGGGGCAGGUCGUCCCUACCCCGGAACCUCACGAAAGGGUGGUUUUCCUCCCCCACUUCGUCCGCGGACUGGGGUUUCCCCUCCAUCCAUUCGUCCGCGGCCUCAUGUUCUAUUAUGGGAUGGACUUUCAUGAUUUGGCCCCGAAUUUCAUCCUCAACAUCUUGGCGUUCAUCGUCGUGUGCGAGGCUUUUCUCCGCAUCCGGCCCCACUUCGGCCUAUGGCUGAAGACCUUCAAUAUCAAGCCAAAGGUAGUAGGCGGCCAACAAGCGGAAUGCGGCGGAGCCAUGGUGGGCAAAAUGCCCAACGUUAUAUUGCUCGAGGGCUCCUUCGUGGAGACCAUAAAGGGGUGGCAAUCGGGGUGGUUCUACAUCACCGAGCCGUGCGACACCAACUGGGUGGCGGCCCCCGAGUUUCGAUCCGGAAUCCCCACGUGGCUCACUUCCUGGAAGGAGAAGGGCAUGUCCUGGGGUUCAUCGGUGGAGCUGGACGGACUCCAGAAGUGUAUCCGGAACAUGACAUGCAAGAAACUUAAGCUUGUCAACAUAGUCCAGGUCAUGCUCUUCCGCCGGAUCCUCCCGUGUCAACAAUGAGAUGUCAACUUAUGAGAGUUCGACCCGGCCCAGCACCAGACUCUAAGCGAGCUCUUCGACACGACGCAUAAAGAUGUCUGGAGGGUGUUGUUCAAGGGCGCCGAGGUCCCUCCUUCUCUUACCGAGGACCGCGAGCUAAGCGCGAAGCGUUCUGCGAAUCCGGUAAGUUCUGUACAUCUGGUAGGGUGUCUAUUUCCCAUAGCUUAACCAUGUGCGGGGUCUGAGCUCCCAUGCCUUUGACAGGACUGGGUGGAGACAUCGGAGCAGAUCAACUGUCCGGCCCCUCCGCCCGAAGACCCUGCGGACGCUCUCCUGAUGGAGAUGCAGACUCUGGCUCCUUACGAGGUGCCGGAUAAGACCAAGAAGAAGGCCAAGGGAACCCGAAAUAGUUCCCGAUGCUAGGUGGUAUCAGACUCAUCGUUCGAUAACUCCGAGACGCACUCCUCCCAUGAAAACAAGGAGAAGGAAGACAAAGACUCCCCCUCCAGUCGGGGGAGACAAGAAAAGGAAGGCCGCCCCAACCGGGGAGGCCGAAGGGUCCAAGAAGGGAAGGACUCUCCUUCUGGACUAUUCCACCACCGCCGCCGACGGCGAAGACGAGUGGCUGCUCAGGGCCAAGCCCCUAGCGAAGUCGUAAGUAUUUGGAUGCCAGAGUAACUCAUAGCAUACUUUUGUUGCACUGCUUCUCCUAACGUCGAAUAUGAUUAUGCAGUCCGCCCCAAGCCCGUAUCGACGUAUCAUCGUCAGACGGUUCUUUGGACUCGUCGGACAUGGAUAGUGAUACACUUCCAACCACCACCUCUCCUGGCCCUAUGGACAAUGCCGAUGUACUGCCUCAAGGGGCACCGUGCCGGGGGGAGACAGUCCUGGAGGCGCCUCAAGGAGACCUUCCGGACUCCAGGAGCAAAGGGAGCAAGGCUCCUAGGGGCUCCAAGUUUGGCCCGCAGCCGGACACUGCACCGGAACCUCCAGUGGUUCCGGACUCGGGCAGGCGGCCCCCUUCCAAGAGGGGCAAGCCGUCCGUGCCGGUGACCUCUGUCCAUCCAGAGGCACCAGACGAACUGUUGGGAGCGCUUUGCGGCGCUUCCAUCGAUGAAGAGCACCGCACUAUUAUGAGUGCGGUGAUCAAGAAGGUUCAGUCCGCCAAGAGUGGACUGACUGAAGCCUAUACCAGCCUUCUAACAGGCUUUGAGGUAAGUAUUUAAAAUAUAGGAAAAAUGUUACCGCAUAGACAGUAGCCCCUGAUGCUCUGUUUGGUGUUCACAAAGAAAAGCUGAAUAGAGGAUCGAAUAAUAUCUGUAGGAGUCUAAUAUAAGUAUGUUUGUAUGCGUAUGCAGGCUUCGCUGCUGACCUCUGCCGCACUGACUGCGGAGGUCGCCGCACUGAAGCAGGACCUCGAGGGGUCCGAGAAAGAGCUCGGCCUUGCCAAGAGGCAGCUCGAGGAGAACAAAGGCAAGUAAUACCUUGUCUAUAUAUAAAAUAAAAUGUGGUUGCGAAAUGACAGGAUCAUCAUGAAUGUGCCAGGGGCCACGACCGAAGUGGCGACCCUGAAGCAAGCGAUGUACGAGGCCGAAAACAAAGCAGCCAAGGAGCGCACCGAGCGGGAAAAGCAAGAGGCACGGGUAGGCGAGGUGCAGCAAGAGCUCCAGGCCCUCGUGAAGAAGCACGGGGCUUUGGAGCUUGACUCGAAGAUGCGAGAGUCCGAGCUUGCCGCGACCCUCGAGAGCACAAAGCGUGCCAAGGCCGAAGCCCAAAAGGCCCUCCAGGAGAUUGAGGCGAUGAGGAGGAUAGCGACGGGUAAGGCAUUCAAUAUGCAAAGCGAGCAUGUGAAAGUAAAUUACUUGUUACUUACCCGAGUCCGGAGCUCUCCAGGAGCAUUAGCAGAUUUGCCCCGCAGCAUGUCGGAUGCCGCGAAAUUUUACCAGGCCGAGGAGGGAAGCUCGACGGAGAAGCUGUUCUGGUCUCAGUAUACUGGGACCGAACAUCCGAUGCCUAUGAGCGACCAGCUGAAGCAAUUGGUCGAGCUGCACAAGGUGGCCGAACAGGCCAUGAGGGGCCUUAUAGUCUGGAUGUGGCCUGGCGACUCCCUUCCCAUCAGCUACUUUGGCCUGGUGAGGCGGCUUGUGGAUGCCUGCCCACGGCUGGAGGCCAUAAAGCGGUCCGUCUGCAUCGAAGGUGCACGCCGGGCCUUUGCCCGUGCAAAGGUGCACUGGGCCAAGAUGGACGCCGAGAAGCUGGUGAAGGAGGGGCCGCCGCAGGGCAAGGAGCAUCGCCACCCUGAGAUGUAUUAUGAGGGUGUCCUGAAGGGUGCCCGUCUUGUGGCGGACGAGUGUGCGAAGGAUGUAAUUUUUGAAUAAACUUGCUCAGGUGAUCCUGUAUUAUGAAAACUUGUUCAUAUGCUCUAUGCAACACUUAUUUGAAUUUAAAAUAUUACCUUAUGUGCAGUUGUUUAUCAAAUCUGAGAGAUGGCCAGUCAUCGGCUUUUGCCCCCAUGCCACGAGUGCUGGGGUGUUCGGGAUAAACCUGAGCAUUCUUUUUCCCAUUGUUGGGUCCUUCGAGGGAGGUGCUCAGCACAACGAACAAGGCAACCGGACUAUAAUGCUUUAUCACUCUCACUUAGCCAUAGAAUUCUACAAUUUUAAAUUUUGGCGAAGCCCCUAGUAUUCGGAAGGCCGAAUUCGGGGCGCUAUGCACGCCUUAAGCCGGACAAAGCCGACUCCUCGCUCUAAGUGGCAUAAGUCUUUAGGGACUCGAGACCUCUCGAACAGCGACCAGCUCUCGCCUUAUCAUGACAGUCAGUUUUAGCUUUCUCUACUGAGGUGCUUAGCCCAGCUGAACCGGGGCACAAUCACAGUUGUUCUCCCAGUGCUACCUUAGCCGAUAUAGCGGAACGUAAGGUACCAAAACAUGGGAGCCGAGCAAACCCAACUAUUGACCCAAGACAUGAUUCGAAGCUGAUGCAUAUAAUGCUAUAAGUUCGGGGUGCCGCACUGUCGAAAGUGUUCGGACUUCUCACGCCGUAUUAUGGGGUAUGCUUAAGCCCCUGGCGUAUUGGCCGUACCAGAGUGUACGGGUGCUGAAUGUCAUGAAUGAACAUAUAUAUAUAUAAAGAAGAAUAGAGAAUGCGAUAAUAGUCUAGUGAUAUGCAUUGUUUAUUCAAUAAGGUGCGUCGAAGCAGAAUGAUACAAGUAGUGCGAUAAGCAAAAAGUAGGACUAUUUGACAUGUCCCCUCCAAGGGCAAGCUGAGGAAUGAUAUUUAAAGCAAGUAUUUCACUCGUUAUCACAGACCACCUGGUAGUUCCAUGGUGCGACGUAGCUUUCUGUCUCCUUGGUUGUUGCAUCAUGUGUUCGGCAAUCAUACUGCCGGACAGGGUUUCCAGAGAUUAAAGUCCUGAAAGAGAGAAAAAUAACAAAGCGAGAAGCCCCUAGUGCGGUUGAGCCGCGUCUUGGGGCGUGCCGUAGUCGUGCCCCCUCCCCACCUGUGCCAAUGGUAUUUUCAAUGCAUAAUUAUAUAUGCGUGGCAUGGAUUUCGCCAUUUGGCUGGUACUGGGGUGGGGGCCGCAUUGCUAUGCGAGCUUGGAACGUGCCAGGCGGUCUUGUUGCCGAUUACCCCGGGCGCGCUUGAAGGUGUCCGGGUCUUUAAUCGCCGAACUGGUGGAUUGCCCUAAGAGGCCGCUUUGUGCUUCUGCUGCGAGGGCCGCAGUGUGCUCCUCCGUGCAAAGAGAGCGCUCUGUGUUUCCAUUGACUGUGAUGACCCCCCGAGGUCCUGGCAUCUUGAGCUUGAGAUAUGCAUAGUGCGGUACUGCGUUGAAUCUCGCGAAUGCGGUUCGCCCGAGCAGUGCAUGAUAGCCACUGCGGAAUGAGACUAUAUCAAAGAUUAACUCCUCGCUUCGGAAGUUAUCCGGGGAUCCGAAGACCACUUCCAGUGUGACUGAGCCUGUGUAAUGGGCCUCUACACCUGGUAUGACGCCUUUAAAGGUCGUUCUUGUGGGUUUGAUCCUUGAGGGGUCUAUACCCAUUUUACGCACUGUGUCCUGAUAAAGCAGGUUCAGGCUGCUGCCACCGUCCAUAAGGACUCGAGUGAGGUGAAAUCCGUCGAUGAUUGGGUCUAGGACCAGUGCAGCGAAUCCGCCAUGACGGAUACUAGUGGGGUGGUCCCUGCGAUCGAAGGUGAUCGAACAGGAGGACCAUGGGUUGAACUUUGGGGCGACUGGCUCCAACGCAUAUACGUCCCUUAGCGCACGCUUCCGCUCCCUCUUGGGGAUGUGGGUUGCGUAUAUCAUGUUCACCGUCUGCACUUGUGGGGGGAACCUCUUCUGUCCUCCGAUGUUCGGCGGCCGGGGCUCCUCCUCGUCAUCGCUAUGUAGCCCCUUAUAUUUGUCUUCGGCACUUAACUUGCCGGUCUGCUUGAACACCCAACGUUCCCUGUUGGUGUGAUUGGCUAGUUUGUCGGGGGUGCCAUGUAUUUGGCACGAGCGAUCGAGUAUACGGUCCAAACUGGAUGGGCCCAGAGUGCUUCUUUUGAAUGGCUUUUUCCGCUGACCGGGUUUAGAGCCUCUGAAUCCGACAUUGACUGUCGUAUCUUCGGUAUUGUCGCUAUUGACGUUGCGCUUAUGUUUGUUGCGACGUGACCUGCCAUUGUUAUCCUUGGUAUCUGAAGUACCGUGGUUCUUUGAUAUGUUAUUACUGUGAGCCAGCCAACUGUCUUCUCCCGCGCAAAAGCGGGUCAUGAGUGUCGUGAGGGCUGCCAUAGAUUUCGGCUUUUCCUGGCCAAGGUGCCGGGCGAGCCACUCACCGCGGAUGUUGUGCUUAAAAGCUAUUAGGGCCUCUGCAUCCGGACAGUCAACGAUUUGAUUUUUCUUUGUCAGGAACCGUGUCCAAAAUUGCCUGGCCGAUUCCUCUGGCUGCUGAAUUAUGUGGCUCAAGUCAUCGGUAUAUGGUGGUCGCACAUAAGUGCCCUGGAAGUUGUCAAGGAAUGCGGCUUCCAGAUCUUCCCAACAACCAAUGGAUUUUGCUGGCAGGCUGUUGAGCCAAUGCCGAGCUAGUCCAUUGAGUUUGAGUGGGAGGUAUUUGAUGGCGUGUAGAUCGUCACCGCGGGCCAUGUGGAUGUGUAGGAGGAAGUCCUCGAUCCAUACCGCAGGAUCUGUUGUGCUGUCAUAUGAUUCUAUAUUUACGGGUUUGAAACCCUCUGGGAUUUGGUUAUCCAUUACUUUAUCUGUGAAGCAUAGGGGGUGUGCGGCGCCUCUAUACUGGGCUAUGUCGCGACGCGGCUCAAAUAAGUCUUGUCCGCUGUGUUCAGCCCGGCCGGAUUUACUUUUACUGUAUCCAACGUGACGGUUAUCAUCCCGCAUGGUGGCGCGCCCUCGUGAUCCGUAGAUCGAUCUUGCGUGUUUUGCUUUGUCCUCCAAUACGUCUCGCAGGUCUAGCGUGUUUCCCCGUGCCUUGACAUUUUUAUUUGAGUGGCGUCGGGGUGCGGGCUGAGCUUUUGGCUCAAAUGCCUCUCUGUCGCGGCCACGAGGUGGCCGAUCAGCCGCGUCAUACGCUGGAGAUGUAGCUUUAAUGCUUCCUCCUCUGGUCGGGGAAGCAACCUGCGCUUUGGGUAACUCUUGGAGAGGCGUUCGAGUUCAUAUUCCUCGGCCGCAAGGACAUCAGUCCAUCUGUCAGCUAGCAAAUCUUGAUCAGCUUGAAGCUGCUGCUGCUUUUUCUUAAGGCUAUUUGCCGUGGCUAUAAGCCAGCGCUUGAAGAGCUCUUGCUCGACGAGAUCCUCAGGCAUGACAAAUUCGUCAUCGUCGAGGCUUGCCUCGUCUUCGGAGGGAGGCAUGUAAUUAUCAUCAUCCGCCUCUCCAUCUGCCGCUCUCUCGGGAGGGCUGGCUUCUCCAUCCUCUUGCUCUAAAUCUUGCUGGAGGGGAUUGUUGUCGUCUUCGGCACUAUCCGGAGUGCAAUUAUCUCCUGUGCCAGUGUCACCGCUUUUGCUUUGGCAAGACUUAGAGUGGCGCCGCUGACGUCGGCGCUUGGGUUGUUUCUUAGAGGGGUCAUCCUCCGUUGUCUCGUCGCCAUUGCCUUCUUUGGGUGUGUCCACCAUGUAUAUAUCAUAUGAUGAGGUGGCUGUCCAGUGCCCUGUGGGCAAUGGUUCCUCUUCAUCUCUCGCAUCGUCGUCCAUACCAUCAAUGUCUUCGGAGUCGAAGUCGAGCAUGUCGGUCAAAUUGUCGAUAGUGGAUACUAAGUGGGUGGUGGGUGGGCGGCGAAUUUCUUCGUCAUCCGCAUUCCAAUCCUGCCGAACAUAGUUCGGCCAGGACUCUCCUGACAAGGAGAGAGACCUUAAUGAGUUCAGUAUGUCGCCGGAGGGCGAGUGCUGAAAGAUAUCCGCGGAGGUAAACUCCAUGAUCGGCGCCCAGUCGGAUUCGAUAGGCACGGGCGGAGGCGGUUCGGAGUCCAUGGCCGGGGAAGGAUCCGGCAGCUUGGCAUCACGGCUCCCGUGAAGGGUAAGGUCGAUACUCGGCUCGAUCGCCGCUGAGGAUACGGCCUCCAUGGCGGGGUCUAUCCACCCGUCCAUGGAUGGCGCAACUGGCUCCGAAUUGAGGGUCAGAGUGGUCGCCGGCGCGAUCUCCUGAACACUGUGCGAUGGUAGAGCUAAAUCAUGCUCAUCGUGACAGUGCGGCGCACUCGGCAGGGGCUUGAAUCCGUCGAAGAUCAAGUCUCCACGGAUGUCGGCCGUGUAGUUUAAGCUUCCAAACCUGACCUAGUGGCCAGGAGCAUAACUCUCGAUCUGCUCUAGAUGGCCAAGCGAAUUGGCCCGCAGUGCGAAGCCGCCGAAUACAAAGAUCUGUCCGGGGAGAAAAGUCUCACCUUGGACUGCAUCGCUAUCGAUGAUCGAAGGAGCCAUCAAGCCUAACAGCGACGACACAGAGGAACUCUCAAUGAAAGCACCAAUGUCGGUGUCAAAACCGGCGGAUCUCGGGUAGGGGGUCCCGAACUAUGCGUCUAAGGCGGAUGGUAACAGGAAGCAGGGGACACGAUGUUUUACCCAGGUUCGGGCCCUCUUGAUGGAGGUAAAACCCUACGUUCUGCUUGAUUAUUCUUGAUAAUAUGAGUAGUACAAGAGUUGAUCUACCACGAGAUCGGAGAGGCAAAACCCUAGAAGCUAGCCUAUGGUAUGAUUGUAUGUUGUCCUACGGACUAAAACCCUCUGAUUUAUAUAGACACCGGAGGGGGCUAGGGUUACACAAGGUCGGUUACAAAGGAGGAGAUAUACAUAUCCGUAUUGCCUAGCUUGCCUUCCACGCGAAGUAGAGUCCCAUCUGGACAUGGGACGAAGUCUUCAAUCUUGUAUCUUCAUAGUCCAACAGUCCGGCCAAAGGAUAUAAUCCGUCUGUCUGGAUACCCCCUAAUCCAGGACUCCCUCAGUAGCCCAUGAACCAGGCUUCAAUGACGAUGUGUCCGGCGCGCAGAUUUGUCUUCGGCAUUGCAAGGCCUCCUUUUAAUAGAGAACUGGAACAAAGCAUUAGCACAUAGUGAAUACCUGAACUCCUCAAACUAUGGUCAUCACCGGGAGUGGUCCCGAUUAUUGUCACUUCGGGGUUGCCGGAUCAUAACACAUAGUAGGUGACUAUAGACUUGCAAGAUAGUAUCAAGAACUCACAUAUAUUCAUGAAAACAUAAUAGGUUCAUAUUUGAAAUCAUGGCACUCGGGCCCUAGUGACAAGCAUUAAGCAUAGCAAAGUCAUAACAACAUCAAUCUCAAAACAUAGUGGAUACUAGAGAUCAAACCCUAACAAAACUAACUCGAUUACAUGAUAAAUCUCAUCCAACCCAUCACCGUCCAGCAAGCCUACGAUGGAAUUACUCAUGCACGGCGGUGAGCAUCAUGAAAUUGGUGAUGGAGGAUGGUUGAUGAUGACGACGACGAUGAAUCCCCCUCUCUGAAGCCCCGAGCGGACUCCAGAUAAGCCCUCCUGAGAGGUUUUUGGGCUUGGCGGCGGCUCCGUAUCGUAAAACGCGAUGAUUUCUUCUCUUUGAUUUUUUUCUCUCCAAAAGCAAAUAUAUAGAGUUGGAGUUGGCGUCGGAGGGCAUCCAGGGGGCCCACGAGGUAGGGGGCGCGCCCUAGGGGGGGCGCCCCCCACCCUCGUGAGAAGGGUGUGGGCCCCCUGGUCUUCAUCUUUGGCGAGGAUUUUUUAUUAUUUUUUCUAAGAUGUUCCGUGGAGUUUCAGGUCAUUCCGAGAAUAUUUAUUUUCUGCACAUAAAACAACACCAUGGUAAUUCUGCUGAAAACAACGUCAGUCCGGGUUAGUUCCAUUCAAAUCAUACAAGUUAGAGUCCAAAACAAGGGCAAAAGUGUUUGGAAAAGUAGACACGAUGGAGACGUAUCAAGCUCCAACGCCCAAGUUCGCGUCUUUCUUCUCAAACCACUCCAAGCAUGUCCGGAGCGGGAGGCAAGUGGAUGGUCUCCUCCGUCAUGGAGGAGCACAUCGCAAAGCUACGGGAAGCCGGAUAUCCGGCAGCAGACAUCGCGCACCGGCUACCAGAUGCGGGGCAGAUCGUCCCUACGCCCGCACCCCAUGAGAGGGUAGUUUUCCUUACCCACUUUGUCCGCGGACUGGGAUUUCCCCUUCACCCAUUUGUCCGCAGGCUCAUGUUCUACUACGGGCUGGAUUUUCAUGAUCUGGCCCCUAAUUUCAUCCUCAACAUCUCGGCGUUUAUCGUCGUGUGCGAGGCCUUCCUCCGUAUCAGGCCCCACUUCGGCCUGUGGCUGAAGACCUUCAAUGUUAAACCAAAGGUGGUAGUCGGCCAGCAAGCGGAGUGCGGAGGUGCCAUGGUGGGCAAAAUACCUAAUGUCACCUGGCUCAUAGGCUCCUAUGUGGAGACCAUAAAGGGAUGGCAAUCGGGGUGGUUCUACAUCACCAAGUCGCGUGACACCAACUGAGUGGCGGCCCCCGAAUUUCGAUCCGGAAUCCCCACGUGGCUCACCUCCUGGAAAGAGAAGGGCCAGUCCUGGGAUUCCCCGGUAGAGCUGACUGGACUCCAGACCUGCAUCAAGAACAUGAUGAGCAAGAAAAUCAAGCUCGUCAACAUGGUCCAGGUCAUGCUCUUCCGCCGAAUCCUCCUGUGUCAACGACGGGCAUUCAAUUUGUGGGAGUUUGACCCGGCCAAGCACCAGACGCUGCGAGAGCUCUUCGACACGACACACAAGGACAUCUGGAAGGUGCUGUUCAAAGGGCGCUGAGGUACCUCCUCCCCUUACCGAGGACCGCGGACUCAGCGCAAAGCACCAUGCCAAUCCGGUAAGUUUUUAUAUCUCACAGGAUAUUUAUUUGCCCCAGUUUAAUCAUGUGCAGAAUCUAAGCUUCCAUGCAGUUAACAGGACUAGGUAGAGAUGGUGGAGCAGAUCAGUUGCCCAGCCCCCCUGCCUGAAGAUCCUGCAGAUGCUCUCCUAAUGGAGAUGCUGGUUCCGGCGCCUUACGAGGUGCCGGCGAAGAAGGCCAAGAAGAAGGCCACGGGGACCCGAAAGGGUCUCCAGUGCAAGGUUAUAUCGGACACAUCGUCCGAUUACUCUGACGCGCCCUCCUCCCACGAAAACGAGGAGGAGGAAGAGGAAAGUUCUCCCCCCAGCCGGGGGAGACAAGAAAAGGAAGGCCUCCCCAACCGGGGAGGCUGAAAGGUCCAAGAAGGGAAGGACCCUCCUUCCGAACUGCUCCACGACGGCCGCCUACAUCGGCGACGAGUGGUUACCCAGGGAGAAGCCCCACGCGAAGUCGUAAGUAUCCGGAUACCAUAGUAAUUCAUGGUAUGUUUUUAUUGCACUGCUUCUCCUUACGCCAAAUAUGAUUAUGCAGUCCGUUCCGAGCCCGUCUUGACGUAUCUUCGUCGGACGGUUCUUUGGACUCGUCGGAUAUUAAUAGCGAUUCACUUCCGACCGCCUCCACCCCUUGCCCUACGGACAACGUCGAGGUGUUGUCUAAAAAGGCACCGAGCUGAGAGGAGGUAGUCCUGGGGGCGCCUCGAGGCGACCUUCUAGACCCUGGGCGCAAAGGGAGCAAGACUCCCACGGGCUCCAAGUUCGGCCCCUAGCCGAACACUGCACCGGAACCUUCGGUGGUUCCGAACUCCGGCAUGCGAUCCCCCGUUAAGAGGGGCGAGCCGCCCGUGCCGGUGGCCUCUGUCCAUCCAGAGGCACCGGACAACUUGCUGGAAGCGCUUCGCGGCGCUUCCAUCGACGAAGAGCACCGCACUAUCAUGAGUACGGUGAUCGAGAAAGUUCAGUCCGCCAAAAACGGACUGACCGAAGCUUGCGCCAGCCUCCUAACAGGCUUUGAGGUAAGCAAUCAAAAUAUAGGAAAAUAUUACCGCAUAGACAGUAGCCCCUGAUGCUCUGUUUGGUAUUCACAAAGAAAGGCCGAAUAGAGGAUCAAAUAAUGACUCAGGAGUCUAAUCAGAAUAUGUCUAUGUGCAUAUGUAGGCUUCACUACUGGCCGCUGCUGCACAUACUGCGGAGGUCGCUGCACUGAAGCAGGACCUUGAGCGGUCCGAGAAAGAGCUCGGCCUUACCAAGAGGCAGCUCGAGGAGAGCAAAGGUAAGCAAUACCUUGUCUAUAUAUUAAAAAGGAAUUCAGUUGUAAAGUAAUAGGAUCAUCAUGAAUUUGUCAGGGGCCACGACCGAGGUGACGACCCUGAAGAAGGCGCUGUCCGAGGCCGAAGACAAAGCGGCCAAGGAGCGCACUGAGCGGAAAAAGCAAGAAGCCCGGGUAGGUGAGGUGCAACAAGAGCUCGAGGCUCUCGCCAAAAAACACGAGUCCUUGGAGCUUGACUCUAAGACGCGAGAGUCCGAGCUUGCGAAGGCGCUCGAAAACGCACGGAGCGCCAAGGCUGAAGCCCACAAGGCCCUCCAGGAGAUGGAUGCAGUGAAGAAGAUAGCAGCGGGUAAGGCAUUCAUUAUGCAAAGCAAGCAUGUGAAGGAAACUUUCCUUUUACUUACCCGAGUUCGGAGCUCUCUAGGAGCGUUCGCAGAUCUUCCCCGCAGAGUACUGGAUGCCGUGGAGUUUUACCGAGCUGAGGAGGGGAGCUCGACGGAAAAGUUGUUCUGGUCUUAGUAUACUGGGACCGAACACCCAAUGCCCUUGAGCGACCAGCUGAAGCAACUGGUCGAGCUUCACAAGGCGGUCGAACAUACCAUGAAGGGGCUUAUAGUCCGGAUGUGGCCUGGCGAUCCCCUGCCUAGCAGCUACUUCGGUCUGGUGAGGCGGCUUGUGGAUGCCUGCCCACGGCUUGACUUCAUAAAGCGGUCCAUCUACAUCGAGGGUGCACGCAGGGCUUUUGCCCGGGCGAAGGUGCACUGGGCGAAGCUGGAUGCCGUGAAGCUGGUGAAGGAGGGGCCGCCGGAGGGCAAGGAGCAUCGCUGCCCCAAAAUGUAUUAUGACAGUGUCCUGAAGGGUUCCCGCCUUGUGGCGGAGGAAUGUGCCAGAGAUGUAAUUUUUAAAUGAACAUGCUCAUGUGAUCCUGUAAUAUGAAACGAGUUCAUUUGCGCUAUGCAGUGCUUUUUGAAUUUAAAAUAUUACCUUCUGUGCGGCCGUUUAUAAAAUCUGAGAGUUGGCCAGUCAUCGGCUUCUGCCCCUAUGUAACUAGUACUGGGGUGUUCGGGAUAAACCUGAGCACUCUUUAUCCCAAUUUUGGGUCCUUCGAGGGAGGUGUUCAGCACAACGAACCAGGCAAUCGGACUAUAAGGCUUUAUCACUCUCACUUAGCCAUAGAAGUCUACAAUUUUAAAUUUUGGCGAAGCCCCUAGUAUUCGGAAGGCCGAAUUGGGGGCGCUAUAUACGCCUAAGUCGGACAAGGCCGCCUCCUCGCCCGAAGCAGAAAAAGUCUUUACGGACUUGAGACCUCUCGAACAGCGACCAACUCUCGCCUUAUCAUGACAGUCAGUUUUCAGCUUUCUCUACUGAGGUGCUCGCCCGGAAGAACCGUGACACAAUCGCAGUAGUUCUCUCAGCGCUACCUUAGCCGAUAUAGCGAAACUUAAGGUACUAAAACAUGGGAGCCAGACAAACCCAACUAUUGACCCAAGACAUGAUUCGGAGCUGAUGCAUAUAAUGCUAUAAGUUCGGGGUGCCGCACUGUCGAAAGUGUUCGGACUUUUCACGCCGUAUUAUGGGGUAAACGAAAACCCCUAACAUACUGACCAUACCAGAAUGUACGGGUGCAAGUUGUUGUAAAUGAAUAUAUAAAAAAAGGGAUUGAUAAUGCAAUAAUAGACUAAUGCUAUGCAUUGUUAUUUAAAACUAUAAUGAAGCUAGCCAACUCACCUCCACAAGCUCCUUCGAUUGCAGCUUCGUUGGCGUUGGAUCUGAUCAUCUAGAGUGUCUGAGCGGCAGGAUCUUUACCUGUUGUCAAACCUGAUUUCACCUUGUAGUUGUUCUGGCUGUCCAAUGACUAGUGGGCUCGCGUCACAUGUUUAUUGGCUGGUUUGAUCGAUCUCGCGUGAAAAAGGCUUCGCCGAAUCCCUGCGCGUGCUCCGCUCCCAAUACUCGUCGCAAGCCAGAGUCCACACCCGCACCAACCCUAGCCUCCAUACCUCACCUUCCUCCCUCGCUCCGCCCCAACCCUAGCCGCCACACCUCUGCUUCCUCCCUUGCUCGACGCCAUAGGCACCGUAGCCCCUGCCUCCUUCCUGCUCGUCCGGAUAGCCGCCAUCCGCCGCAUCCUUUCUCCUCCUUCCUCCUCCCUGGUCCCCGCUGGUGCCCCUCGCCCUCGUCCUCGGACAGGGUGCCUCCCGCAUGGACGGUCGGGUCUUCAAACCGGGGGUAGAGGAGCAGGGGAGGGCCAAGAGGCCGUCGGUGGGGGUGGAUCAACUAGGCCGGAGACCUCUGAUUGCUUAGGCCCCAUGGCAGCAGCCGGAUCAGGGCAGCGACGGAAGGCCAUGGAGGGUGUGGCGCAUGCGGGCGGAACCAACAUGGGUUGGUGGAGCGACGGAUGCGGGUAGGGUCAGCGGUUAGGGGCACUGCGAGGAGUGGAAGGCAGAGGGUAGGGGCAGAAAGCCGUGGCGAGUCCUCGGAGAGGAGAGGAAGGCGACGGUUCAGCCCGCGGUGUCGGGCAGAGAGAGAGAGAUGUGGAUGGUGGCGCUAUGCAAAGAGAGAUGGCGGCGAAGGCAGGCGGUGGCGCUGAGUAGAGAGAGAUGACGUCGGCGGCGGUGGCGCUGAGUAGAGAGAGAUGACGUCCAUAAUCUUGCGGAGGUGUUCCUCAACCUACAUGAGGUUUGCACAUUCCCUUCCCUUUUUCUGAAUCUGUUUUUCUUUAAUUUCCUCGGUUAUGCGUAUGAUUACUUGCUAGCCUGUAGCAUAGCCAGUUUUCAAUGUUUUCAUAUAGAGUUUUAUUUGGCUUGUGCUUUCAUAUUUUUACAGGCACCCCAAGUGUGGGAAGAAUAAAAUGUAAUUCAAUUGUUGGGUAUAUUGUUCAGAUGAGUUCGUCCUGUGCUAGAAGGUGAGCUGAACCCAGCCUAGGCCUCAAGUUUCUCCUGUCCUUUGAAGUGCAUUGUUAUUUCUGUGAGGUUCACAUGUAAUUUGUUCAACUAUAGUACUCAGUGAAUGAGACAAGGCACUACUGCAUUUAAUUUUGUGGUGUUCAGCUGCAGGAAUUCAGUUUGUUUCUGGUUUUUUGGAAGUCAUAGAUUGUUUUGUGCCGGAAACAGGAGAAGUAAUGCUCUAACCUUGGCAGCAAAAAUGGUCUAAAUUUCAUAUAGAAGGCCCUAGAACACUUUGCAUGUGUUCAUUCAAAUAUAUGGAGUUGACCUGUAUGUGUUGCUUCUGUGCACACUAUGUUUCAUAUGAAUUUGUAGGAGAGAAACUCUAUAAUGGUAAUGAAGUAUUGUCGAUAUUUACUCUGUUGCUUAAGGCCUAGGCAUCCUUUUGGAUGCAGUUAUGGUAGCAUGUGUGAGAGAAGUGGAUGGAAAAUUAGGGACUGAAACAAGUGGAGAAGAAAGUUAUUAGUUGAUUCUCACAUCAGAUAGAAGUUGUCUCACGAAUGUUUAUUUAUUUAGUGACCAGGCAUGAGAUCUGGAAUAUUGAAGAGCAACAAUUGGCAGAAGUAUUAGAUGAGUUUGGGAAUACAUGGUCAUGUAUGGAGUAUUUUCAUGAUUAGGUUUCCAUCGCUCUUCUCCUGAAGGCAUGAUGCCUCAUUUCAAUUCUCUUAUCUUGGUGUGUUUGUAUUCAGAAAAUUAAGGCAUGAUUCAUCAUUUAGAUUAUCUUAUCUCCGUGUGUUUGUAUUCAGAAAAUCAAUUUGCUUAUUUUUUGCUUUCUUAGGGCUAUAAAAAGAGAAAAUUCCAUCGCUGAAAAUCUUUUAAAGAGAUUGAGGAUAAAAAAAUCCAAGCAAACUCCGCUUUUCUCCCGUAUUUUUUAUGCGCGCCUUAAUCUGUGUUAGGAGAAAAAUAUUGCUCUUUGUUCAGAAAAUGUUUAUUGGAUGGAAAAUACUCAGCAUUUAAAGUUUUUUCUUCAGAUGUUUUGGGUUUUUUGAGCAGGCUGCCCGACAGGUCUUGCGUUUUUUGCAAGAUUUGUAUGGAUUUGUGGUUCAUGACUAUAACUAUGAAUGUAUGAUGGCCUAUAGGAGAUAUGUCUGUUCUUUAAUGAUCAUUGCGGUUUCUUGGGUUCCUACUAUGCUAUUUAUUCAGUCUGUAGGCCAGCAUAUUAUUUUAAUUCUUUCUAACUUCCUUUCUAUACAUAGAAAUGCACACCUACUUCCAAGCUCAGUACUGGUCUCCUUGCAGUUACAACCCCAAGGUAUAGCUUCUGAAACAGACUGCUAACAUAUGCUUAACUACUUAAAUGCACUCAUGUUUGUGUGUUCUUUUGUAGCAAAUCGCCAUGCCCAGACGGCAGUGCCAGGUGUGCCUUAUUUCAAGCUGCUAAGAAGAAAACCGCUGCACUAGAAGAACCUAUGCAGAAGCUUGAUGCAGAAGCCGAGGUGCGGCUUCUUUCAACCCCUCAUACUAUAUACCGAUAUAUACACACAUGUCUCCCUCUUCACUGGUUUUAUUUCACGCACCAGGUGAGCUCUGGUGGUAAAGCUGAAGCUUCUUCACCUCCUGUUGAAGAGAAGGAUGGUAAAGAUGGCCAGGCUCAAGUGACCAGGAACAAAUGGUGCUGCUUUUUAUGUCGUCCAUCUAUCUAUGCAUCCUUCAGUUUGUACCGGCAUAACAAAUAUUCAUUUCUAACUAUAAAACUUUCAGUUAAGAAACUUCACUGCUGGAAAGGGAGCUGGGGCACUAAAGAAACCGGGAUAAUCUAUCUAUAGAUACAAUAGCAAAUUGCUCUAAAUUCAUUUCCAGUUAUCAUCUCUGGCCUUUCUAUUUCUAAGACCAUCCUUCUCGCUGUAGUCUAUUAUAUAAUCUUAGUUUCUCCUUGAUGACAUCGCAAGAAAAGAAUGGUGGUCUUAUGCGAGUCGCUUCGCCAUCCAACAACACUCCAUUGCAUUACUUUUUGUCCAGCUUCAAGCCGAGCCAGUGAAUGUGUGUUCCUUGCAUGACGUUUAGUAUAACCAAAUGCUUCUUAUUAAGUAUGCUUUCGAAACUAGAGUCUUUGGCUGCUCAUGUAGCUCUGCCAAAGCAAUGCAAAAAACUACAUUUUAUGCUUUCAGUUAGGGUGGAUUUGUGUCUUUAGAGAUGAGGCAACCUUACGUGUACAUAUUCAUAGAUACGUCCUCCGUUCCUAAAUAGAAGUCUUUAGAGAUUUAAAUACGGACUACAUACAAAGCAAAAUGAGUGAAUCUACACUCUAAACUAUGUCCCUUUAUCACACUUCCAGCAGACAUGAGUUCUCGUGUUUUUACAGCUUUGUGGAAACAUGAUUCGAUGCAGAAGAUUCAACUAUGUAAAUUGGAAUAAAGAAAAUUAAACACUCAGGUCAAUGGACUGUUCUUUUAUUUGUCUAUGGAACAACUCUUCUUGUACCUGUUUGUGCUCUGUUCCAUAGCAUGAUGGUGCUCUGACCACUUCAUAUCCAUGUAUUUAGCAGGUUCUACGAUCUCUUGUGUUGCACUAUUGCUGCAUCUCGAACUCCUGCUUUGUUGCAUCUUUGUUCUGCUCCUCGAUGUUUGCUUACUUUCUGUCUAGCUAAAAUGCUUUUCUGGAUCUGGCAAGGCGUCGUGUAUUGUUCGUCCUCAUGCUGCUUAUAUUUCAUGCUUGCAUGUAAGCAGGAUGCGUCUGCUUAUUUGAGUACGUACAGACAUGCUUCUUUAGUGUGCCCUUCUAUCAUCUCAUAGUUAUCUUAUUUGUUGUUCUAAAUAAUUAUUGUAUGAGGGAGCAGCAGGCAGAAGAAAUCCAAAGCAAAUUUUGCUCAGCUGUAGCGUCUUCCACUAACAAUAAGUCUGCACAGCAGCCUGAUAGGUUAGUUCUUGCAACUAAAAAACACAAGUCUUUCAGUUGCUCACCACUUGCUAGUAAAAAAGCAUAGUGAUUUUCCUUUAUACAUACCCAACUGAAGAACACCUUAGUUAAAUCAAUCAAUAGUGAGUUGUAUUACUAGAGACGUACUUAGGAAAAUGCCCUUAGGCGUGACACACUACAUGGUUACCUUCUUUAGUCCUAGUUAUUGAUAUCAUAUUGAGAUAACACUCCGCCAAGCAUAAUGUUUGUUUUUAUAUACUUCCAGAUGCUAAUUUACCGUUCUUGAUUUUGGCGGGGAUAUUCCUUCAUUACUUGGUUAGCUAUCAAUACUCACCAAUUUUGGCGGGGAUAUUCCUUCAUUACUUGGUUUGUACAUCAGUACAUGUUAUUCAAUUUUUUUCAAACUCAGAUUUGCAGCGCGAUAAUCAUAUUUUCAAUAUAGCAUGGUUUAACACAUGAGCUUUCUACUACCAAUAUCGAAUAUGUUUCUGCAAAAUAAAACUAUUUUCAUCGACAACAUGGUUUUAGUGGGUCUCUGCACCAUUUGGCGCAACGGGUCAACUAGUUUAAUUAAUACGUUGAAGCGUACUAAUACAAGUAGUGCAAUAAGCAGAAAAUAGGACUUUUUGACAUGUCCUAUCCAAAGGCAAGCUGUGUAUGGAUAGUAAAAAGCGGGUAUAUUGAUUAUUGAUACGUCUCCAAUGUAUUUAUAAUUUUCGAUUGCUCCAUGCUAUAUUAUCUACUGUUUUGUACUAUAUUGGGUUUUAUUUUCCACUUUUAUAUUAUUUUUGGGACUAACCUAUUAACCGGAGGCCCAAUCCAGAAUUGCUGUUUUUUUGCCUAUUUCAGUGUUUCGAAGAAAUGGAAUAUCAAAGGGAGUCCAAACGGAAUGAAACCUUCGGGAACGUGAUUUUCUCACCGAAUAUGACCCAGGAGAUUUGGACCCUACGCCAAGAAAGCUUCGAGGUGGGCACGAGGUAGGGGGCGCGCCCUAUACCCCCAGGCGCGCCCCCACCCUCGUGGGCCCACCGAAGCUCCACCGACAUACUUCUUCCUUCUAUAUAUACAUACGUACCCCCAAACAAAUAGAUACGGAGCCAAAAACCUAAUUCACCGCCGUAACUUUCUGUAUCUAUGAGAUCCCAUCUUGGGGCCUGUUCCGGAGCUCCGCCGGAGAGGGCCGUCAUCACGGAGGGCUUCUACAUCAUCAUAGCCUCUCCGAUGAAGUGUGAGUAGUUUACCUCAGACCUUCGGGUCCAUAUUAGUAGCUAGAUGGCUUCUUCUUUCUUUUUGGAUCUCAAUACAAAGUUCUUCCCCUCUCUCGUGGAGAUCUAUUCGAUGUAAUCUUUUUUUUUGCGGUGUGUUUGUUGAGACCGAUGAAUUGUGGGUUUAUGAUCAAGUCUAUUUAUGAAUAAUAUUUGAAUCUUCUCUGAAUUCUUUUAUGUAUGAUUGGUUAUCUUUGCAAGUCUCUUCGAAUUAUUAGUUUGGUUUGGCCUACUAGAUUGGUUUUUCUUGCCAUGGGAGAAGUGCUUAGCUUUGGGUUCGAUCUUGCGGUGUCCUUUCCCAGUGACAGAAGGGGCAACAAGGCACGUAUUGUAUCGUUGCCAUCGAGGAUAACAAGAUGGGGUUUAUUUCAUAUUGCAUGAAUUUAUCUCUCUACAUCAUGUCAUCUUGCUUAAAGCGUUGCUCUGUUUUUAACUUAAUACUCUAGAUGCAUGCUGGAUAACAGUCGAUGAGUGGAGUAAUAGUAGUAGAUGCAGAAUCGUUUCGGUCUACUUGUCACGGACGUGAUGCCUAUAUAUAUGAUCAUGCCUAGAUAUUCUCAUAACUAUGCUCAAUUCUGUCAAUUGCUCAACAGUAAUUUGUUCACCCACCGUAGAAUACUUAUGCUUUUGAGAGAAGCCACUAGUGAAACCUAUGGCCCCCGGGUCUAUUCUCAUCAUAUCAAUCUCCAUCACUUUAAUCUUGCUUUGCUUUUUUACUUUGCCUUUUACUUUUCACUUUGCAUCUUUAUACCAAAAAUACCAAAAAUACUAUCUAUCAGAUCUCACUCUCGUAAGUGACCGUGAAGGGAUUGACAACCCUUAAUCACGUUGGUUGCGAGUAGCUAUCGUUUGGUGCAGGUACAAGGGACUUGAGCGUGGCCUCCUACUGGAUUGAUACCUUAGUUCUCAAAAACUGAGGGAAAUACUUAUGCUACUCUACUGCAUCAUCCUCUCCUCUUCGGGGAAAACCAACGCAAGCUCAAGAGGUAGCAAGAAGAAUUUAUGGCGCCGUUGCCGGGGAGUCUACGCAAAAAGUCAACAUACCAAGUACCCAUCACAAUCCCUAUCUCUCGCAUUACAUUAGUUUCCAUUUGCCUCUCGUUUUCCUCUCCCCCACUUCACCCUUGCCGUUUUAUUCGCCCUAUCUUUCUCCUUCUCCUUCUCCUUCUCCUCCUCCUUUUUCGUUUGCCUUUUUUCUCGCUUGCCUUUUGUUUGCUUGUGUGUUGGAUUGCUUGUCUGUCGCGAUGGCUCAACCAAGAUUUGGUGAUCUUCACCUUAAAAUGUUAGAGGAGAUCGAAAACAACGUUAGGAAGUUUAUGGUUUUGCAAUUUGAGCAUAAUAAUUUCUUUAGAAACAAGCUUAAGGAACAAAAAAGUUUUAUGAGUUAUAUGAAUAAAGAGCUUGAUGAUAUGUCUAAAGAAUUUGAUGGUAUAAGAUCCCAAAUUGCUCGUCUAGAAAAGAUGACUGCUGAAAUUUCGGAUAUGCAAGCCACCUUAGUCAAUAAGAUGUCCGCUAAACCGAAUUUCUAUGAAAAUCAAGAUGAAGAUCUAAAAGUUAUUGAUGUGUCCCCUAUCAAAUCUUUGUUUUGCAAUAUGAAUCUUGAUGAAACUGAAUAUGAUCUUCCUUUACCUAGAAGGCGUUCUAAAAAUUCGGAGUAUUUAGAUCUUUAUGAUGAAAUUGAUGAAAGUGGGGUUGAAAGAAAUAAAAAUCUAGAUGUUGCUAAACCCACUAUAUUGGAUUUCAAGGAAUUUAAUUAUGAAAGUUGCUCUUUAAUUGAUUGUAUUUCCUUGUUUCAAUCCGUGCUAAAUUCUCCACAUGCUUAUAGUCAAAAGAAAGCCUUUACCGAACAUAUUGUUGAUGCCUUGAUGCAAUCUUAUGAAGAAAAGCUUGAGUUAAAAGUUUCUAUCCCUAGAAAACUCUAUGAUGAGUGGGAACCAACUAUUAAAAUUAAAAUUAAAAAUCAUGAGUUUUAUGCUUUGUGUGAUUUGGGUGCUAGUGUUUCCACUAUCCCCAAAACUUUGUGUGAUUUGCUAGAUUUCCGCGAUUUUGAUGAUUGCUCUCUAAACUUGCAUCUUGCGGAUUCCAUUAUUAAGAAACCUAUGGGAAGAAUUAAUAAUGUUAUUAUUGUUGCAAAUAGGAAUUAUGUGCCCGUAGAUUUCAUGUUAUUAUUGUUGCAAAUAGGAAUUAUGUGCCCGUAGAUUUCAUUGUUCUUGAUAUAGAUUGCAAUCCUUCUUGCCCGAUUAUUCUUGGUAGACCUUUCCUUAGAACGGUUGGUGCGAUUAUUGAUAUGAAGGAAGGGAAUAUUAGAUUUCAAUUUUCAUUAAAAAGGGGCAUGGAACACUUUCCUAGAAAGAAAAUAAGAUUGCCAUAUGAAAUUAUCAUGAGAGCCACUUAUGGAUUGCCUACCAAAGAUGGCAAUACCUAGAUCUAUCCUCGCUUUUAUGCCUAGCUAGGGGCGUUAAACGAUAGCGCUUGUUGGGAGGCAACCCAAUUUUAUUUUUAGUUUUUUUUAUGUUUUUCUUCUGUUAGGGAAUAAAUAACCCAUCUACCUUCUGUUUGGAUGUGGUUUUGUGUUUUAGUUAGUGUUUGUGCCAAGUUAGACCUAUUGGAUCUUCUUGGAUGAUAGUUAUUUGAUCUUGCUGUAAUUUCCAGAAACUUUGCAUUCAGUGACCAAAUUAUUAAAAAUCAUCAGAAUGUGAUAAAAUACUGAUUCCAAUUGCUGCUGAUUAAUAAACAAAUUGUCUAGGUUGUCCAAGUUUGGUAGAUCUUUUGGAGUUCCAGAAGUUUGCGUUAGCUACAGAUUACUACAGACUGUUCUGUUUUUGACAGAUUCUGUUUUUCGUGUGUUGUUUGCUUAUUUUGAUGAAUCUAUGACUAGUAAAAUAGUUUAUAAUCCAUAGAGAAGUUGGAAUACAGUAGGUUUAACACCAAUAUAAAUAAAGAAUGAGUUCAUUACAGUACCUUGAAGUGGUAUUUUGUUUUAUUUCUCUAACGGAGCUCACGAGAUUUCUAUUGAGUUCUGUGUUGUGAAGUUUUCAAGUUUUGGGUGAAUUCUUUUGAUGGAUUAUGGAACAAGGAGUGGCAAUAGCCUAAGCUUGGGGAUGCCCAUGGCACCCCCAAGAUAAUCCAAGGACACCAGAAAGUCAAAGCUUGGGGAUGCCCCGGAAGGCACCCCCUCUUUCGUCUACUUCCAUCGGUAAUUUACUUGGAGCUAUAUUUUUAUUCACCAACAUGAUAUGUGUUUUGCUUGGAGCGUCUUGUACUAUUUGUGUCUUUGUUUGCUAGUGUGCCACAAUCAUCCUUGUUGUACACACCUUUUGAGAGAGCCAUACAUGAAUUAGAAUUUGAUAGAAUACUCUAUGUGCUUCACUUAUAUCUUUUGAGCUGUCUAGUUUUGCUCUAUGUGCUUCACUUAUAUCUUUUGAGCGUUAUAAUUUUUGCUCUAUGUGCUUCACUUAGAUAUUUUAGAGCACGGUGGUGGAUUUGUUUUAAAGAAACUAUUGAUCUCUCAUACUUCACUUAAAUUAUUUUGAGAGUCUUAAUAGCAUGGUAAUUUGCUUAAUAAUAACAUGCUUGGUAUUCAAGAUUUGUGAAACUUUCUUUUGAGUGCGUUGAAUACUAAGAAAAGUUGGAUGCUUGAUAAUUAUUUUGAGAUAUGGAGGUAGUAAUAUCAAAGUCAUGCUAGUAGAGUAAUUGUGAAUUUGAGAAGUGCUUGAGUUAAAGUUUGCAAGUCCCGUAGCAUGCACGUAUGGUAAACGUUAUGCAACAAAUUUGAAACAUGAGGUGUUAUUUGAUUGUCCUCCUUAUGAGUGGCGGUCGGGGACGAGCGAUGGUCUUUUCCUACCAAUCUAUCCCCCUAGGAGCAUGCGCCUAAUGCUUUGGUUUUCGAUGGCUUGUAGAUUUUUGCAAUAAGUAUAUGAGUUCUUUAUGACUAAUGUUGAGUCCAUGGAUUAUACACACUCUCACCCUUCCAUCAUUGCUAGCCUCUACGGUACCGUGCAUUGCCCUUUCUCACAUCAAGAGUUGGUGCAAACUUAGCCGGUGCAUCCAAACCCCGUGAUAUGAUACGCUCUUUCACACAUAAACCUCCUUAUAUCUUCUUCAAAACAGCCACCAUACCUACCUAUUAUGGCAUUUCCAUAGCCAUUCCGAGAUAUAUUGCCAUGCAACUUUCCACCAUCCAGUUUAUCAUGACACAUUCAUCAUUAUCAUAUUGCUAGCAUGAUCAUGAAGUUGACAUAGUAUUUGUGGCAAUGCCACCAUUCAUAAUUCUUUCAUACUUGUCACUCUUGAUUCAUUGCAUAUCCCGGUACACCGCCGGAGGCAUCCAUAUAGAGUCAUACUUUGUUCUAGUAUCGAGUUGUAAUCAUUGAGUUGUAAAUAAAUAGAAGUGUGAUGAUCAUCAUUCAAUAGAGCAUUGUCCCAAAAAAAAAUAGGAAGGCCAAAGAAAAAAAAAGAAGGCCCAAAAAAAGAAAAUAAAUAAAAAGGGGCAAUGCUACUAUCCUUUUUCCACACUUGUGCUUCAAAAUCUUCAUGAUAGAGAGUCUCGUGUUUUGUCACUUUCAUAUACUAGUGGGAAUUUUUCAUUAUAGAACUUGGCUUGUAUAUUCCAACAAUGGGCCUCCUCAAGUGCCCUAUGUCUUCGUGAGCAAGCAAGUUGGAUGCACACCCACUUAGUUUCUUUUGUUGAGCUUUCAUACAUUUAUAGCUCCAGUGCAUCCGUUGCAUGGCAAUCCCUACUCCUUGCAUUAACAUCAAUCGAUGGGCAUCUCCAUAGCCCAUUGAUUAGCCUCGUUGAUGUGAGACUUUCUCCUUUUUGUCUUCUCCACAUAACCCCCAUCAUUAUAUUCUAUUCCACCCAUAGUGCUAUAUCCAUGGCUCAUGCUCAUGUAUUGCGUGAAAGUUUAUGAGUUUGAAAUUAUUAAGGUAUGAAACAAUUGCUUGGCUUGUCAUCGGGGUUGUGCAUGAUGAGAGCAUUCUUGUGUGACGAAAAUGGAGCAUGACUAAACUAUAUGAUUUUGUAGGGAUGGACUUUCUUUGGCCAUGUUACUUUGAGAAAACAUAAUUGCUUUGUUGGUUUGCUUGAAGUAUUAUUAUUCUCUAUGUCAAUAUGAACUUUUGUCUUGAAUCUUUCUAAUCUAAAUAUUCAUACCACAAUUAAGAAGAUUUGCAUUGAAAUUAUGCCAAGUAGCACUCCACAUCAAAAUUCUCUUUUUAUCAUUUACCUACUCGAGGACGAGCAGGAAUUAAGCUUGGGGAUGCCUGAUACGUCUCCAACGUAUCUAUAAUUUUUGAUUGCUCCAUGCUAUAUUAUCUACUGUUUUGGACUAUAUUAGGCUUUAUUUUCCACUUUUAUAUUAUUUUUGGGACUAACCUAUUAACCGGAGGCCCAACCCAGAAUUGCUGUUUUUUGCCUAUUUCAGUGUUUCAAAGAAACAUAAUAUCAAACGGAGUCCAAAUGGAAUGAAACCUUCGGGAACGUGAUUUUCUCACCGAAUAUGACCCAGGAGACUUGGACCCUACACCAAGGAAGCUUCGAGGUGGGCACGAGGUAGGGGGGCGCGCCCCCCACCCUCGUGGGCCCACCGAAACUCCACCGACGUACUUCUUCCUCCUAUAUAUACCUACGUACCCCCAAACGAAUAGAUACGGAGCCAAAAACCUAAUUCCACCGCCGCAACUUUCUGUAUCCACGAGAUCCCAUCUUGGAGCCUGUUCCGGAGCUCUACCGAAGAGGGCCGUCAUCACGGAGGGCUUCUACAUCAUCAUAGCCUCUCCGAUGAAGUGUGAAUAGUUUACCUCAGACCUUCGGGUCCAUAUUAGUAGCUAGAUGGCUUCUUCUCUCUUUUUGGAUCUCAAUACAAAGUUCUUCCCCUCUCUCGUGGAGAUCUAUUCGAUGUAAUCUUCUUCUUUUUGCGGUGUGUUUGUUGAGACCGAUGAAUUGUGGGUUUAUGAUCAAGUCUAUCUAUGAAUAAUAUUUGAAUCUUCUCUGAAUUCUUUUAUGUAUGAUUGGUUAUCUUUGCAAGUCUCUUCGAAUUAUCAGUUUGGUUUGGCCUACUAGAUUGGUUUUUCUUGCCAUGGGAGAAGUGCUUAGCUUUGGGUUCGAUCUUGCAGUGUCCUUUCCCAGUGACAGAAGGGGCAACAAGGCACGUAUUGUAUCGUUGCCAUUGAGGAUAACAAGAUGGGGUUUAUUUCAUAUUGCAUGAAUUUAUCUCUCUACAUCAUGUCAUCUUGCUUAAAGCGUUACUCUGUUUUUAACUUAAUACUCUAGAUGCAUGCUGGAUAGCGGUCGAUGAGUGGAGUAAUAGUAGUAGAUGCAGAAUCGUUUCGGUCUACUUGUCACGGACGUGAUGCCUAUAUACAUGAUCAUGCCUAGAUAUUCUCAUAACUAUGCUCAAUUCUGUCAAUUGCUCAACAGUAAUUUGUUCACCCACCGUAGAUUACUUAUGCUCUUGAGAGAAGCCACUAGUGAAACCUAUGGCCCCCGGGUCUAUUCUCAUCAUAUCAAUCUCCAUCACUUUAAUCUUGCUUUGCUUUUUUACUUUGCCUUUUACUUUUCACUUUGCAUCUCUAUACCAAAAAUACCAAAAAUACUAUCUAUCAGAUCUCACUCUCGUAAAUGACCGUGAAGGGAUUGACAACCCCUAAUCGCGUUGGUUGCGAGUAGCUAUCACUUUGUGCAGGUACAAGGGACUUGAGCGUGGCCUCCUACUGGAUUGAUACCUUGGUUCUCAAAAACUGAGGGAAAUACUUACGCUACUCUGCUGCAUCAUCCUCUCCUCUUCGGAGAAAACCAACGCAAGCUCAAGAGGUAGCAAUUAUUAUUAGAGACCACUUGGGGGUUUGCUUGUACAUCUUAGCUUCUUGCCUCCUUGGUUGUUCCUUCCCGUAAUGUGUCCGGCAAUCGUACUGCUGGAAAGGGCUUCCAGAGAGUAAGGUCCUGAAAGAGAAAAAAUGAUAAAGGUAUGCGGCCCCUAGGGCGGUUAAGCCGCAUUGUGGGACGUGCCCUGAUCGUGCCCCUGCCUAUGCCCAUGGUAUUUUCAGUGCGUAAUUAUGUACGCGCGACACGGAUUUCAUCGCUUGACGGGGACUGGGACGGGGGCCGAAUUGCUAGGCGAGCUCGGAACGUGCCAGGCGAUCCUGUUGCAGUUUACUCCGGACUCGCUUGACGGUGUCCAGGGGCUAUAUCGCCGAAUUGGUGGUUUGCCUUGAAAGGCUGCUUUGUGCUUCUGCUGCGAGGGCCGCAGUGUGCUCUUUCGUGCGGAGCGAGCGUUCUGUGUUUCCAUUGACUGUUAUGACCCCCUAGGUCCUGGCAUCUUGAGGUUGAGGUAUGCGUAAUGCAGUACCGCAUUGAAUUUGGCAAAUGCGGUUCGCCCGAGCAGUGUGUGAUAUCGAAGAUUAACUCCUCGCUUCGGAAGUUGUCCAGAGAUCCGAAGACCACUUCCAGUGUGAUUGAGCCCGUGCAAUGGGCCUCUACACCUGGGAUGACGCCCUUAAAGGUGGUUUUGGUGGGUUUGAUCCUCGAGGGAUCUAUACCCAUUUUGCACACUGUAUCCUGAUAGAGCAGGUUCAGGCUGCUGCCGCCGUCCAUAAGGACUCGAGUGAGGUGAAAUCCGUUGAUGAUGGGGUCUAGGACCAGUGCGGCAGAUCGGCCAUGACGGAUACUAGUGGGGUGGUCCCUGCGAUCAAAGGUGAUCGGACAAGCGGACCAUGGGUUGAACUUUGGGGCGACGGGCUCCAUCGCAUAGACGUCCCUUAGUGCAUGCUUCCAUUCCCUCUUGGGAAUGUGGGUUGCGUAUAUCAUGUUCACCGUCUGCACUUGUGGGGGGAACCUCUUCUGUCCUCCCGUGUUCGGCGGCCGGGGCUCCUCCUCGUCAUCACUAUGCAGCCCCUUGUCCUUGUUUUCGGCAUUUAACUUGCCAGCCUGCUUGAACACCCAGCAUUCUCUGUUGGUGUGAUUGGCUGGUUUAUCGGGGGUGCCGUGGAUUUGAAACGAGCGAUCAAGUAUGCGAUCCAAACUGGACGGGCCCGGAGUACUUCUUUUGAAUGGCUUUUUCCGCUGACCGAAUCUAGAGCCUCUGAAUCCGACAUUGACUGCCGUAUCAUCGGUGUUAUCGCCGUUGUUGCGGCGCUUUUGUCUGUUACGACGUGGUCUGCCGUUGGCAUCUUUGGUAUCUGAAGUGCCCGGAUUCCUUGAUGUGUUGUUGCUGCGAGCCAGCCAGCUAUCCUCGCCCGCGCAAAAGCAGGUCAUGAGUGUCGUGAGGGCUGCCAUAGACUUCGGCUUCUCCUGGCCGAGGUGCCGGGCGAGCCACUCGUCACGGAUGUUAUGCUUGAAUGCCGCUAAGGCCUCUGCAUCCGGACAGUCGACAAUUUGGUUUUUCUUAGUUAGGAACCGUGUCCAGAAUUGCCUGGCCGAUUCCCCUGGCUGCUGAGUUAUAUGGCUCAAGUCAUCAGCAUCCGGUGGUCGCACAUAAGUGCCCUGGAAGUUGUCAAGGAAUGCGUCUUCCAGAUCCUCUCAACUGCCGACGGAAUUUGCUGGCAAGCUAUUCAGCCAAUGUCGAGCUGGUCCUUUGAGUUUUAGUGAGAGGUACUUGAUGGCAUGCAGAUGAUCACCGCGGGCCAUGUGGAUAUGGAGGAGAAAAUCCUCAAUCCAUAUAGCAGGAUCUGUUGUACCAUCAUACGAUUCAAUAUUUACGGGUUUAAAACCCUUCGGGAAUUCGUGAUCCAUAACUUCGUCAGUGAACGCAUAGGGGGUGUGCGGCGCCUCUGUGCCGGGCUAUAUCACGACGCAGUUCAUAUGAGUCUUGUCUUCUGUAUUCGGCCUAGACGGAUUUACUUUUAGUGUAUCCGGCAUGACGGUCAUCGUCCCGCAUUGGCGUGCGCCCCCGUGACCUGUAUAUCGACCUUGCAUGUUUUGCCCCGCUGUCCAAUAUGUCUCGCAGGUCCCGUGUGUUGCCCCGGGCCUUGGUAUUUUUGUUUAAGUGGCGGUGGGGUGCAGGCUGAACUUCAGGCUGAAACGCCUCUCUGGCUCGGCCACGAGGUGGCCGGUCAGCCGCAUCGUACACUGGUGAUGUAGGUUUCAAUGCUUCCUCCUUGAGGUGAGGUUGCAACCUGCGCUUUGGGUAACUCUUGGAGGGGCGCUCGAGUUCGUAUUCCUCGGCCGCAAGGACUUCGGUCCAUCUGUCUUCUAGCAAGUCUUGAUCAGCCUAAAGCUGUUGUUGCUUUUUCUUCAAGCUAUUUGUUGUGGCCAUAAGCCGAUGCUUGAAGCGCUCCUGCUCGACGGGAUCCUUAGGCACAAUAAAUUCUUUGUCGCGGAGGCUCACCUCGUCUUCGGAGAGAGGCAUGUUGAAAGCACAAGUGCUCCCUAGGUGGUUUUGGUAAUUGAUGACAACAUAUCUCUUGUUGGACUAAUACCUUUACCUAGUAUAUUUCAGAUAAGUUCAACAAUGGAGUGGCAUGGACUAAAGGUUGUGGGAACCUCUUCAAGAUGCUAAGGACAAAGGAUUGGCUAAAGCUUCAAACUCAAGACUCUUCAUUUUAUAUUUUAGUGAUCCAAGAUCACAUUGAGUCUUUAGGAAAAGCCAAUACUAUCAAGGAGAGAUGAGGUGUUGCUUAAUGAGCCUCUUGCUCUAUGUGCUUAAUGAUAUGCUCCAAAAUCCUCAGCUACUUUCCCACUUCCACAAAUGACCUAAACUCUAAGCCAAACUUGGUCAUACCGAUUAUGUCAAUCCGGCGCCACCGAGUUUCACUUGUCAUUUGCCACUGCCAAACCCUAGCAAUUCGGUCCUACCGAUAAGGAUCUCGGUCACACCGAGAUGGGGUUGCAAACUCUCUGUUUCCCUUUCGUAACUUUUCGGUCUCACCGAAAGAGCGAAUCGGUCCCACCGAGAAUGCAAUGUAAACUCUCUGUUUCCUUCUUGUAACGUUUCGGUCUCACCGAAAGAGCGAGUCGGUCCCACCGAGUUUACCUGACCAACUCUCUGGUUAGCUAAUUGCCAAACUCGGUCUCACCGAGUUUGUGCAAUCGGUCUCACUGAGAUUACGUUAUGCCCAAACCCUAACCGAAUCGGUCCUACCGAGUUGCAUGUCAGUCCCACCGAAAUCUCUAACGGUCACUAGGUUUACUAUUUCGGUCAGACCGAGUUUUCUGAUUCGGUCCCACCGAGAUUGGUAGAUUGUGUGUAACGGUUGGAUUUUGUGUGGAGGCUAUAUAUACCCCUCCACCACCUCUUCAUUCAUGGAGAGAGCCAUCAGAACACAUACACCAUUCCUACUCAUAUGUUCUGAGAAAGAACCACCUACUCAUGUGUUGAGACCAAGAUAUUCCAUUCCUACCAUAUGAAUCUUGAUCUCUAGCCUUCCCCAAGUUGCUUUCCACUCAAAUCUUCUUUCCACCAGAUCCAAAUCCUAUGAGAGAGAGUUGAGUGUUGGGGAGACUAUCUUUUGAAGCACAAGAGCAAGGAGUUCAUCAUCAACACACCAUUUGUUACUUCUUGGUGAGUGGUGUCUCCUAGAUUGGCUAGGUGUCACUUGGAAGCCUCCGACAAGAUUGUGGAGUUGAACCAAGGAGUUUGUAAGGGCAAGGAGAUCGCCUACUUCCUGAAGAUCUACCGCUAGUGAGGCAAGUCCUUCGUGGGCAAUGGCCAUGGUGGGAUAGACAAGGUUGCUUCUUCGUGGACCCUUCGUGGGUGGUUGCUUCUUCGUGGACCCUUCGUGGGUGGAGCCCUCCGUGGGCUCGCGCAACCAUUACCCUUUGUGGGUUGAAGUCUCCAUCAACGUGGAUGUAGGAUAGCACCACCUAUCCGAACCACGGGAAAAACAUCCAUGUCUCCAAUUGCGUUUGAAUCCUCCAAACCCUUCCCUUUACAUUCUUGCAAGUUGCAUGCUUUACUUUCCGCUGCCUAUAUACUCUUUGCAUGCUUGCUUGAUAUGUAUUGUGUAUGUUAAAAUUGUGCCCAAACUCCACUUAAACCGAAAAAGCUUAAAAAAUGCAACUUUAGCAUUAAGUGUCUAAUCACCCCCCUCUAGACACAUCUACUUCUAGAUCCUACAAGUGGUAUCAGAGCUUUGGUCUCCAUUGCCUUGGUUUAAUCACCAUUGGAGGAAGAUGGAUGUGUCUACUUUAGGGAGUCUUAGACAUAGAGUGCCUAUUCUUGAUGGAGAGUACUUUCAUGAGUGGAAAAAUGAGAUGCUUGUAAUCUUCAAUCAAUAUCAUUUAAACAAGUAUAUUGCUAGCCCUUGUGCACCUCAUAUUGAUCCUUUGCAUCCUACCCUAGAUGAAAAUAUUGACAUGAUUCGCAAUCUUAGAACCAUUGAGCUCAUCAUUAGAGGAUUGCCCAAAAAUUUGAUUGCUAGUUUGCCUACUCUUAAUUGUGCCCAUACUAUAUGGAAAUUUCUUGAGGAACGAUUUUCAAAUCAUUCCCUGAAAAAUUUGGAUAAAAUUCUCCAUAAAUCUAUUGCCUUGAGUAAGAUGAACUCUAGUGAUCCUAGUUUUGGUGAUUGUCUAUUUGAGCUUACCAAUCUUAAGCAUGCUAAAGGAGAUGUUGGAAUCAUUAGUGAUAUUAUAUUUGAAGCUAUAAGAAUUCAUAAAAGUGACCACUUUGAUGACCAUUUAUCUAAUGAAUUACCCUCUCUAGGAAAUGAUGAGUCACAAGAUCAUGAUGAACAUGGAUAUGAUGAUGAUGACAAUGACUUCGAUCUUGAUGAUGCAAUGAGACAUUUUGGUCUUACGGCAAAUCUUCGGGGAUAUGCGUCAGGUGGAAAGGAAUGGGUUCUUGAUAGUGGAUGUACUGAUCACAUGACCGGAGAUGAAGAAAUGUUCCGUGAACUUGCUGAAAAUGACGGCCCUCGAAAAUAUGUCACCUUUGGUGAUAAUUCAAAGGGUAAAGUAGUUGGCCUUGGUAAGGUGGCCAUCUCACAUGAUAGUUCCAUUCAAAAUGUCAUGCUCGUUGAAUCUCUCGGCUACAAUUUACUUUCAGUAUCUAGACUUGCUGAUUUUGGCCUAAAUGUUCUAUUUACUGAGGUAGAUUGCCAAGUGUUUUGUCGAGACAAUCAUAAAAUGGUUUUUACCGGUAUGCGUAGAGGUGAUCUUUACAUUGUCGAUUUCUCUAAAAAGGCACAACCUAAAACUUGCUUCAUUGCUAAAUCCUCAAAAGGUUGGUUGUGGCAUAGACGACUAGGUCACGUUGGCAUGAGAAAUCUUGACAAGCUUAUUAAAGGAAAUCAUAUCCUUGGAGUUAACAAUGUCAUAUUUGAUAAGGAUAGACUUUGCAGUGCUUGUCAAGCAGGUAAACAGGUUGGAGGAAGGCAUCCCGUGAAGAACAUCAUGACCACAAGGAGGCCACUCGAGCUACUUCAUAUGGAUCUUUUUGGUCCCAACGCCUACAAAAGUCUCGGUGGAAAUUCUUUUGGUCUAGUUAUAGUUGAUGAUUUUUCAAGAUUUACGUGGGUGUUCUUUCUUAAUGACAAGUCGCAGGUCCAGAAGAUCUUCAAAAACUUCGCUAGGAAAGCCCAAAAUCAGUGAAGAUCAAGAAGGUUCGGAGUGACAACGGAACGGAGUUCAAGAACGCAAAUGUGGACACCUUUCUUGACGAAGAAGGGAUUUCACACGAGUUCUCGGCUACGUACACACCUCAACAAAAUGGAGUUGUUGAGAGGAAGAACCGGACGCUCAUCAAAAUGGAAAGAACGAUGCUUGAUGAAUACAAGACGCCAAAGCACUUUUGGGCAGAAGCGGUUGAGACAGCUUGUCACGCAACAAAUCGCUUGUAUCUUCACAAGCUACUCGGCAAGACAGCAUACGAGCUCCUCACCGGUAACAAACCCCAAGUUGGAUACUUUCGAGUAUUCGGCUCAAAGUGCUACAUUCUUGACAAGCAUCGUCGUUCAAAGUUUGCUCCUAAAUCUCAUGAAGGCUUUCUACUUGGUUAUGGUUCAAAGUCUCACACUUACCAUGUCUACAACAAUUUCACCCGAAAGGUUGAGGAGACGGUAGAUGUGAAGUUUGAUGAAUCUAAUGGCUCACAAGUAGAGCAAUUGCCAAUUGAUGUAGGAGACAAAGACCCUUCAGAAGCAAUUCAAGACUUGUCCAUUGGCAAAGUUCGUCCAACGGAGGUAAAGGAGAGUACAUCAUCCGUCCAAGUGGAAGCUUCUACUUCACGACAAGGUGAACCAAGAAUCGACACAGAAGCAUCCACAAGUAGGACACACCAAGAUGAAGAAGACGAGGAAGUACAUCAAGACGAACAUCAACAACCUCCUUCUCCACCACGACAAGAGAAUGACAACGUCAACAAUGAAGAAGGCCAAGAAGAAGAACAAGAUGAAGAAGAUGCUCAACGAAGACCCAAGCAAAAGCUCUCACGAGUUCGAGCAAGAAUUGCCAAAGAUCAUCCCAUCGAGCAAAUCCUCAAUGAUAUACAAACAGGGAGAAUCACUCGCUCAAAAACUCGUUUAGCUAACUUUUGUGAAAACUAUUCAUUUAUCUCUAGCAUUGAACCUAUGAAGGUCGAAGAAGCAUUGGAAGAUCCGGAUUGGAUAAACGCUAUGCAUGAGGAGCUAGACAAUUUUGAGAGAAACCAAGUUUGGACAUUGGUUGAGAAGCCCGACAAUAACCACAACAUCAUUGGUACCAAAUGGGUGUUUCGCAACAAGCAAGAUGAAGAUGGACAAGUGGUCCGCAACAAAGCACGUCUCGUCGCCCAAGGGUACACACAAGUCGAAGGUAUGGACUAUGGUGAGACAUAUGCUCCCGUUGCUAGACUUGAGUCCAUUCGCAUCUUACUUGCCUAUGCUAAUCACCAUAAUAUCACCUUGUACCAAAUGGACAUUAAAAGUGCUUUUCUAAAUGGUGAAAUAGAGGAGGAAGUUUAUGUCAAACAACCUCCCGGCUUUAUCAAUCCUAAGAAACCAAAUCAUGUUUACAAACUUCACAAAGCUCUUUAUGGUCUUAAACAAGCUCCUAGAGCAUGGUAUAAGUGUUUGACCAAGUUCCUUAUUGCAAGUGGUUUUGAAAUUGGUAAAAUUGAUUCAACUCUUUUUACUAAAAUGGUUAAUGGAGAACUUUUUGUAUGCCAAAUUUAUGUUGAUGAUAUCAUAUUUGGUUCAACUAACCCUCUCUUUAGUGAAAAGUUUGGAAAGCUAAUGUCAGAGAAGUAUGAGAUGUCUAUGAUGAGUGAACUCAAAUUCUUUCUUGGUUUGCAAAUCAAGCAAACUAAGGAAGGUACAUUUGUCUCUCAAACGAAGUACACCAAGGACUUAUUCAAGAAGUUCAAUAUGCAAGAGUGCAAAGGUAUGUCUACACCCAUGCCCACUAGUGGACAUAAUGAUUUGACCAAAGGUGGUGAACCGAUUGAUCAAAAGGUUUAUCGUUCUAUGAUUGGUUCAUUCCUAUACCUAUGUGCUUCACGUCCCGAUAUUAUGCUAAGUGUGUGCAUGUGUGCAUGAUAUCAAGCUGCUCCUAAAGAAUGUCAUCUUAAGGCUGUGAAAAGGAUAGUGAGAUACUUAAUUCAUACACCAAACUUUGGCAUUUGGUAUCCUAAGAGAUCUUCUUUUGAUCUUGUUGGCUAUUCCGACUCGGAUUAUGCCGGAGACAAGGUUGAUAGGAAGUCCACUUCGGGUACUUGUCAAUUUCUUGGUAGAUCUCUUGUGUCUUGGGCCUCCAAGAAACAAAACUCGGUAUCCUUAUCCACCGCCGAAGCGGAAUACAUUGCCGUUGGUUCAUGUUGUGCUCAAUUACCUUGGAUGACCCAAACUCUUAAAGAUUAUGAAAUUUAUGUGAAACAUGUUCCACUGCUUUGUGACAAUGAAAGUGCUAUCAAAAUUGGUCAUAAUCCCGUACAACAUUCUCGAACUAAGCAUAUUGAAGUUCGUCAUCAUUUCAUUCGAGAUCAUGUUGCUAAGGGUGACAUUAAUCUUAAGCAUGUUCGCACUGAUAAGCAACUAGCGGAUAUAUUCACUAAACCACUUGAUGAGAAAGUGUUUUGCAGGUUGAGAGGAGAAUUGAACAUCAUUGAUGCUUCAAACGUGGAGUAGGAACUCCAUUGGAUACAUGCAAGACAUGAGCUUAUGACUAAUCCAUGAUAUACCUCUUGUGAUGACAAUCUUAUGUCUUCGAUAUAUUUGUACCUUGCAUGUUGUCUAACCCAUGUAGGUGCUUGGUUGAAACUAAUUCCAUGGGAUUGCGACUCACUCACAUCUUGAGCAAUCUUUACAUCACCAAGUCCCUACACAGUGGUGGUUGAAGUCAAGGAAGCACAAAGCCAUUUAAACAUAUCCUUUGACAAAUUCUAUGUUGAGCUUCAUGAUUGUCAUUUUUGGAUAUACAAGUGCUCUUCCUUGCAAGAACUAACCCAUGUAGGCAGAUGAGCUCAAACUCCAAGUGGUGCUCCAAAUUCUUGAUGAACUACAUCAACCAUGAGCACCCACACAAGUUCAACUACAUGAGCAAGAACCACACCACCACCCAAGGUAUGUUAUUCCAUCUUAGAGAAGCUUUACUCCAAGACAUGAGUCAAAGCAACUCAACAAGAUGUGAAUACAUCAAGAUGCUUAAACGAAAAAUGGCAACCCCAUUUUGAGCUUAAACGAUGAGUAUGACCUAUGAUCAAGUGCUCUCACUUGACUCCUAAGUCAAUAUACUCUAACAUAGGUGACCAUGUCACCGCCCAACUCUAGAUGAAGUUCUCUUGUGUUCUUUCUUUGUGCUAUUGCAUCUGUCUCAUGCAUGUUUAUUGUCUUUCUCUUUUCAAAACAAAAAAAAACUUCAUCUAGAUCCUUCAGUUUCUUCUCUUCUCUUUCUGUUUUUGUUCUGCAUUUAAUUCCUCGCAAAUCCUUCAGGUAAUUCAUUGCAAAUCUUUGUGAGAUCUUAUUUGACUAGUGAGCCGAGGUGACAAAUGUUUUUUUUUGUAGUAAACUCGGUUUCACCGACUUGUAAUUUUCGGUCCAACCGAAUCCCUUCGGUACCACCGAAGAAUACCACUCGGUGCCACCGAUUUCGCCACAGGCAAAACAGUUUGUCACAUAUUUUCUAUUUCUUCUGAUCCAGCUCCACUAAAUGAAUCUUAUCCUCUACAAGCAUCCCAAUUUUAAUCUUUGCUUUAUGCUGAGUCUCAAGGACCAAAACCUUUGGAUGGAUUCCAGAAGAACCUUCUUGGAAAUUGAUGUCAAAGGGGGAGAGAGAGAUCACAUCAAAGCUUAUCUUCGGGGGGAGAGAGAUCACAUCAAAGCACUAAAGGGGGAGAGAACAUCUCAAGGAUCCCAGAUGUCCCAGAUAAUGUAUUAAGGGGGAGAAAGAGAUCUCUAGGGGGAGAGACAAUACUCAAGGAUCCCAGAUGCUUGAUGAUCAAGAGGAGAGAUGUCACAUGUCUUUUUAGGGGGAAAGACAUGUUCAUUUGUUUUGUUUCUUUCAGCUCUGAUUUU